rnacentral:lncRNA from 1 species
GUGUUUCAGGUGGAUCUACUAUUUUAAUUUUGUAAAAUGUUUAGGCUAUUGUUUAUAACUAAUGGAAAUUUCUUUUUGAUUGAUAUCUGUAAGAAAUUUUUGAGGACUGAAAUUUAUGAAUUAGACUUGUAAUUAUCAUCGGUGCAACCAAGCAUAUAUGCGUGCACAUGUAUAUGGAAAAUUUCAUAAAUUUCACGAGGUCAUAUAAAACUAGAGAUGUCAAUGGGCCAGGUUAGGUCACAUCUUAAUUCAGCCCGGAAUUAACACUAAAGGCCUGAUCCCCAAGUGGCCCCAACCUGGAUCGAGGAUCCCUGGCUAUAGACUGACUAAGAACCAGUCAAUGUUUUGGGCUGGACCAAAGCCGAGUUGGGUUCCAGGCCUGACCCAAGUUUUUAGGCUUUCUAAUUUCCAUCUUAGUUAGAUGUUACGCCCUAAAACGACAUCGAGCCAGGACUUUUUGGGGUGGGGUCAGCUCAUCGGCUGCUAAGGCUGGCCCUCCCCAUUGACAGCCUUAGCAAAAGCAAUUACAAAUUGAUGAUCAAUUGGCAUAGUAAGUUGAGCAGGGAUCCUAUGCUGCAGUGCACGCGUAACACCGCAGAGUGUUGUACAGCCGUAGAUGGCCACCACCAAGAGAUGACGGCUAUCAAACAAUCCAGUCCACGAGCGCACGCUGCGUCAUACACGGUGCACAUUAUUUGAUGGUUGUCCAUCUUCUGAUGGUGGAUGGCCAUCCAGAGAUGCAUAGCACUUUACACUUUAUAGUGCACAAGCUGCCUUGCAGAUUUAAGUUGGUUUCUUAAAAUUUCUCAACCUGAUUGGUCGCGAACUUGGGAACUGUCUCCGAAUUUCGGCAUGUAGACAUUCAUUGUCCAACAUCAUCACAGGAUUUCUGCAUUGUUGACCAAAGGAUCAAGGAUAUCUAUCAGACAUUAUUGCACUAUGAAGUGUAAAGAAUUGAAGUAGUCUUGUGCACCACUAGGAUGAUGAUGGGAAGACAAAAGAUUAUAACGGGGCGGAAUUCAUAGGUGAAGUUUUAUACAAAUAAUCAGAUUUAGAGAUCUGGAUGGUUGCGACAAUGCAAUCUAAGUAUAUAAGUUACAAAUUUUUAUUUAACAAGCAAUUCUCAUUGCUACCCAUUUUCCUUUUGUUUGUUGCCUUCCUUCUUCCUUUUGCUGUUACUAGUUAUCAUAGAAUCAUUACAAAGCUUGAGCCUAUUCACAGCAGAAUCACUAGUUCAUCUCCAAUAUGCAUGCAACAUUUUUGAGAUGGGAGUCUUGGAGAUAGAAGUAUUGAUAGAUUAUAAUGAUGGCCAAGCAUAAAGUCAGAUCUCAUACAAUAUAUUUGAUGCUCGCAUUAAACUAUUGUGUAUAAAAGUGUUGCAUGAUUUGGUGAAAAACUAAUAUGAAUUAAAUUAGUUUGAAAGCAAUAUGGUGUGAAACAAGUAAACUAAAAAGACAAUGUUGGCAUUUAUGUGUGCUUAAAACAACUAUGGAGCUUCGCUAGUACUCAAACUGGUUUCAAUCAUCCAGAAGACAAACGCAGCUAGCCUUCCAUCACAAACGUCAGCAAAGCCACUGGUUCUCAAACCGUUUCUUUUGCUCGAGCACCAAGCUCUUUUGUCUCUUUCUGGGUGGGAGGAUCCCCUGGAAAAAAUCCAAGACCAUGUAUUCUGUAGACUCUUUUUUGCAGGUACUUUAACCUUCUAGGUCAAUCUCUGGUUGACCUGGUUGCUUUCUCAAUUCAUCUCUCAGUGUAAUGUGGGUGGGUAAUCCCCCCACUGUUUUGACUUAAAAAAAACUUAUUAUGUUCUUUUGUUCUGCGUGCGAACCUCUUGAACCAAAUCCACUUCAAUGUGAAUUCUUAAUCAGGUUGGGCUAAUAAAUAUAACAUUGGGUUGGAUUUGUGUUCAAAUUAACUUCCAACUAGGUCACAUUAAUUCAAGUUGAGUACUGCUUCAAAUUUUUAAAUGGGGAACCUAGCUCCACCCAUGUCGAGCUUAACUCAUCUUUGUAGUUGGAUUCCAAAUCCGGUCGGUCUAAACUUGAUCUAUAUUUCUACAAUUAAGGUCCAAAACCAUCCACGCUUAAGUUUUAUUGGAACCAACCCAACACAACCCGAGUUGACCCAACCUUUCAUAAGGUGUCAUGGGAUUGAAAAAUUUUGGAGUUAGUUUAAUUUGGCCGGGUUCUUUCUUAACUAGAUUAGAUGAUAGGCUUGGGUUGGCCCUCAAGUCAACUUAAUCUAUUCUUACAUUUGGCAGCAAUGACUAUCUUGAUAUUCUAAGCUGUUGUUUUAAAGUUUUGUUGGUCGACUGGAAGCAAUUGUCCUCAAAUAAUUCCAUGUUUAGAUGUAGCAAAUAAUAAUAAUAAUAACUGCAAAUUCUGGCAGCGUAACGCCAUUUCCUUUACCAUCGAAAAUACUAGUACAAGAACUUCACGAAAACACCAGGGCAAAAAUACUAUGGUAGCUUAGGUCUCGCGUGGUGGCCCAAACUGCUAGUGUGAGGGUGCAGGUUUGAGAUUGACUAAUCUAAGGAAUAACCUUCAGGCUAAGUCCCAAAAAGAAAAAGGAAAAAAAAGCUAUUAGGUGUCGUGAAACAUUGGUGCUUUAUGCUAUAGAUUUAUUGUGUAUUAGCACUAGAUGGCAUUUGGUAUGGGAGAUGAGCCCAAGAUCAAUAGUGAUAUGGGUGAAGGUGAUGAGAACACCGUGUUUGGUUGCAUCUCGGCAAUGCUACAUAACAGUGAUCCCAAAUCACUUCUGCUCCUAAAAUUACCAUCCAACCCACUGAUGCUAAACCUAUCCUUGAGGUGUGUAUUUCUAGGAUCACCACAGGAUAGUGAUGUUGAACUAAAAUUUAGGGACAAAAAUACCCCUCAGUCCAUCAAGAAAAUUUAUUUUCAAAAAUACCAAUCUUUAGGAAAAAAAAUUCUUCUAGAUGGGGAGGGUUUGAUAAUCUUAUAAAAAAUUUAAUUCUACUAAUUGGAAAGGUUUGAUAAUCCCCUGAAGUUGCUAUAACUAGUUUUGAUUAAUUUUUCAUUUUACUGAAUUAGUCUGGAAUGACAGAUUUUGAUAACUUUAUUUAUGUUCAUGCGUGUUUUCCUAUAAUUUAUUUGAGAAUUAUGUUUAAUAGUUGCAAAAUAUAUGAAAUAAAUUAGUAAUAAUUUUUAUAUUACAUGAUCGGUGAUCUGGGAUUUCUAUAGCAUACCAAACAACAUAAUUAUAGAUCCUCCGAAAUCUUUGAUCACUGAAAUAUAGCAUACCAAAUAUGGAAAUCUUAGAACAUCGAGGAUCAGUUUGUCCCGAGAUAAGAAUCAUAAGUGAUCUAAGAUCACUAUAGUGAUCCAUUUAGGCUACUAAAGGCCACCGAACUUGCGUAUUGCACCAAUUCUCUCAUUUUUUUAGUUUCUUGCAUUUUUCUUGGAUUUCUUGAANNNNNNNNNNUUUCACAUACGCAAUCACAAUAAUAAUUUCUCUAUCCGACAGAAGUGCAAUAGUAGAUCGUAUGUCGUACGACAGACUACCACGUGCAUUACAGAAUCUAUGGUAGCCACAAUCCAUAAUUUAGUUUCCAUGCGUCAUAGAUAUAUAAUUUCUUGUCGUACUCGAUCAUUACAUAUGCGAUCGCUUUAAUAAUUUUACUAUAUUAAUUCUACCUAUCUAAAUGAUGAAUCGAAUAUUAGAUUGUUCGUUAUGCAGCUAUCUACCAUAUGUGCCGCAAAAAUUGUGGCGGUGCCGAUGGUGCACAGUUUAUAAUAUAUCUUCGGUACAUCUAGGGCAAUACAUGGUUAUGCUUAAUAUUUUGUGCAAUCAAUAUGGUGAUUUUACUAGUUGUAAUUCUUCUUCACAUCCAAGAGAUUGUCUUAGAUUGAUAAAAAUGAAACUACUUGCAUUGGAACAAUUCCAUGAAUUCAUAAAAAUAAUUAAAAGUAAAGGCUGAAAGGAAAAUUAUUCCAUUGGUUGUCCAUUUUGAGCAACCACCUGCAUUAUGUCCAUGCUAUCUUUUGGCGACAGGUGUAGCCGGAGCGGUUUCAUGCAGAAUUCACAGGUAGUCGUCUUCUUCCCACAUUCAUAACUAGCACUCGCCUCCCCCUCUACCUUCGCCUCUCCCCCUUCUCUCUCUCUCUCNNNNNNNNNNNNNNNNNNNNUCUCUCUCUCUCUCUCUCUCUCUCUCUCUCUCUCUCUCUCUCUCUCUCUCUCUCCCCUCUCCCUCUCCCUUUGAGAGCAAUGGAGUUCGUUCUCGAGAACCCCCUCAUGUUCUCCGAUGAGGAAGCACUGCACCCGGACUCCAUCUCCAGCCUCUUCGCCGCCGAAAACAAUUGUCUGAUCGCCCAUCACGGAAAUAUUACUCUCUCUGCUCGCCGUGACGCCGCCUCUCUCGCCCAUGAGGUAAUAACCAAACACACUCCAUCUCCGGAUUCCUCGAGUGAAUUCUCUUAAUAUUCCUCUUCUCAAUCGCAGUUCUCUCCAAGUUUGGGUCGGUCGGUGAUCUACCUCGCCAUCAACUACAUCGAUCGCUUCCUCUCCAAACGAGAUAUCCCGGUAAACCCCCAAAAAUCCAAGAAAAGAAGAGAAUAUCCUUCGAAUUUGUUUCCGAACUCUGAAGAUCUUCUUUUUCUUUCGCUUCCAGCUGGUGAAGCCGCGGGUGGCAUCUCUCCUCGCCAUUGCCUGCCUCUCUCUCGCCGCCAAAAUGACGAAAAGCGGCUUCUCCCUUGAAGAUCUCCAGGUAUCGCCGAUUACUUUCUUGAAAUCAAUAUCGUUCGCUCCUUGAAUCGAUAUUCUUGUAUGUGUGUAUGUUUGUUGUUUUCAAAUGGAUCAGGGAACGGACGAACAACCUCAGUUCGCUACGGCGACGAUCGGGUUAAUGGAGAUGGUGGUUCUAAGCGCCCUGGGUUGGCGAAUGCGAUCUAUUACCCCUUUCGCCUUCCUUGACUUCUUCCUCCAUUCCUUCCCGCUCGCCGAUGCCGCUCCCCGCCAAUCUCUCAAGGAUCGAGCGUCCAAAACCCUCUUCCAGGCUCAAAAUGGUAACCGUCUCGAUCGCCGAUCCUUUCUGGCCAGUUUUCUUGUUUAAGGAUUAAUCUAAUAUUUAUGUUAUUCUGAGUUUUAUAGAGGGAAAGUUCUUGGAGUUCAAGCCAUCGGCGAUCGCCGCGUCGGCGCUGCUCGCCGCCGCCUUCAAGCUCUUUCCGACCCACUUCCCCUCGUUCCGCUCCGCUGUACUCUCCUGUGAAUUCGUUGACGAAGUACGCCGACUUUCUUUUCACAAAAAUCGAGGCGAGGCGAGAAGAGCAGUUUCUUUCUGUUUGUUUCUGAUUUAUUGUUUGUUUUGUUUUAUUCUUGCCGUUGAAGGAAAACUUGUCGGCGUGCUGCGAUGCGAUGCUGGCAGCGGCGACCGACGUCGGCGGCUCGGAUAAGGCCGGAAAGAACCCGGGCUCGAGUUCCGACUCGCCGGUGACCGUGCUGGGCCGCCGCGACUCCGAGAACGGGAGGGCCGUCGGAUCCUCUGUGGAUGAUCGUGAUGCUAAGAAGACCCAUCUCGCCUAGAUUUCCGGCUGAGCCGCCGCCGCUAUCGGGCUUCGCCGACGACCUAAAGAGACGAGAGCUUUUUUUUCUUUUUUUGAGGGGGGGAGGGGAUAUAGAAAUAAAAGCUUCUAUCGGGUAUUUGAUAGCAAGUGCAAUAUUGCGAAAAAGGGGAAAAGAUCUUUUGGAUUUUUAAAUAAUGGUAUUUUGAUAAUGCAAUUAGUUUCAUCAACGAGGUGUACGGAUCCGGUACGUGGCGUGCCGCAAACGACCUCACGUGUGGCCGUGGAUGAGCUGUGGGGUCCACGGGACAAGAAAGUGCCGGCGAUCUUCUUUUUUUUUGAAGUGUCGGCAAAAGGUCGUCUCCAAGGUGUGGGCCCGAACGUUGACUCGCGUGUCAAACAAUUAAAUGAAAUUCACAACAAAAUUCGGGAGAGGUUAGCGUAAGAUACCAAAAAUCCGGUAUUUAUUCUUUAUUUGACAAAUAAAUCUACCGUUUAUUCAUUAAGAAAUAAAUGGUAAUUACUGGGAUUUGAGCUGCUUCCGCUGCUACUUUUCCUAGAACUCCAAUACCUCUUCCUAAUGCUCAUGACCCAAGUGAUCAUGCAUGAAUUUGUUCAUACCUUAAAAAGGACACAAGGAUCAUGUCACGAUGAGACGAUCAUUUGCGUCUAAAUUCUAUUGAGCCUUUAUAGGCAUCAUUUGAGAUUCCAUAUCAAAUGAGUUGAUCUCCAAAAUGAUGGCCCCAAAUCGAUUCAAUAUGAGACUUCAUUACUGGUUUGGUUUAACAUUGAUCAAGCACCAACCAUGGUAUCUUAAUGUUUGUUUUAUUGAGUGGAAACCGAGAAGGCAUGUAGAGUUAACCAUGCCUUCAUUCAUGGAGGGCUAUCCUUUCACUCCCAGUCUCCCUCAUCACCCAACCCUAUCUCUAGUCGGAUCACUAGAUUAAAGUUUUUUUUUUUUUUUUGUCUGCCAUGAUAACGAUGAUUCUCAAAAACAGUCCAUAAGAACAGUCCAGCCCUAAUCUACUUGUUUUGGUUCCGAGGAAACAAUCUUAUAAGAUCGAUCUCUGGAGGAUCCUUUUCUCCUCUACCAAACUAGAGAAAAAGUUUUGAUAAGAGGGAUGCAACGAGAUCCUUUCCUCCACAUCCCAUCUCUCACUCGCUUUUUCCCCCCAUUUUUAUAAUUCAAUAAUCUUUACAUUCAAGAUACUUUCUAUUUGAAGAAGGCAAAUUCACUUUGACAAAAUAAUGUUCAUCCAUCAUGUUCGGGGUCGAGGGCUUAAAGCAAACUAACUAUAUAUGUACGUAAAAAUAAGUAGAAUAAUCAAAACAUGUAAAAAAAGUAUUUGUUUUAUCGAAGCUUUGCACGAGUAGCCUCUCAAUGAAUCUGAUGCUUCUUAUUUUUUGUAGUUAUGUUAUCUUUUAUUAUUAGACAAUUGCAAAGCUUGGCAUUGUACUUUAACUAUAUGCAAAAUCUAAUAAUGAUAUGCUUGCUCUCAAAGGUUUGCACAUAAAUUUCUUCUAUCAAACUAGACAAAAGAAUUAGGUAAAAGGUGACCAAUGCUGUGAAGUCCAGUGCUAUAAAUGCAAUCUUCAUCUCUUCUUCCGUAAAUUUACCAUUUGAUGAAUUUAGCUUGCCGUACAACUACUCACCCCAUGCAUUACAUUAAUCACAGCAGUAAACAUUUACGUACUUAAUCUUCAAAUAUUGCAAGCAACUAGUGUCAUUGGCAAAUCAAACUAUGUAUCCUGCAUCAAUAUAAGAGACUCUACCAGCUAAUCCCCUCCAAUUAGAGAGAAUCUGUUCAUAGUUGCCUCCUCUCCAUCUAGGAAAUGUUUGUCCCUGCCUCCGCCAAUAAAUUGAAUAAUGACAGAUUGUUCAUUAUGCAGCUGCCUAUAACAUGUACCAUAAGUCAUGGAAAUAUAAAAUCAUUACCACAUUUGGUUUGGGAAUGAGAAAAUUGGAAUUAAUAGUUGCUCCAAAAAAUUAUUUUCUAUUUCGCUUUGUCUACAAUAUCUGGAUCAACUCUAGGCUGAUUGCACGUUUACGAUAAUAUUCGGAACAACUCCUAGCUAGGUAAGGGUGUUAUCAUCCAAAAAGGACUUUACUUACAUAAUGCUGAAGGCAACAUGAUGGACUCUCCGAAGGACUUGUGAGUUGACCAACUAUGGACAUAAUUCAGCCUACCAGCUGGUCUCCUUCAAUCAAGAUAUCGUACGCAGAGAAAGGUCUAUAAAUAGCACCAUGCGAAAAGAUCGCCCGUCGCACAAGGCGAUGAUAGGCGGGCAAUACAGGAGAAUUACUCAUUUAUUUAUCCUCAAAAAAUGCACCUGGAAACUGACCUUAGUGUGGUAGAUUAGCUGCAUGGGUUCGGAGGUGAACCCGAGAAGAUUUGGCAUGAAGCCAUACGAAACAGUAGAGAACAGUCUUUGGAGACCAUGAUUAAAGGAAACAAAUAAAUAUCCUGCAGUGGGGCAUCCUCCCCCUAUUAGAAUGGUAAAUAUAAUGUUUGUUUACCAAACCCACCGUAAUCGUCCUUCUCCUUGUGCAGAAGAAGAUUCCAGUACAAAGAGUGGGGUGCAAGCACUGAAAUCACAGCCAGCGAUCUGGCUUCCCAGGUACGUCGGAUGUUGCUAGUACUAGCAGGGAUUUAAUGUCCCAUGAAUCAGAGCAUCCCCAGUUAAAGACUCAGCAUAACAGAUGAUGGGAUGCUCGUCAAGACACAGUAUGAAUCAAGCAUUUAGGGACGAGUAUGAAUCGAGCUUCUAGGACACCCCAAACCAGAAAACAAACAAACAAACAAAACAAAACAAAACAAAACAUAAACCAACGAACUGAGAGAGUUCAAACGAUUUGGAUCAUCAAACCAUCCGGUCUAACUAGCUAGAUCAUUUCUCAGUUAUCCCAAUUUUUUCCUGUCCGAGUACUGAAGCAAACCUCAAAGGUGCGAUCGGAUAAAUUUAAUCGACUAAUCAUAGAUCCAACCACAACGAAAAUAUGAUCUUCUGGAUCUUGCCACUAUUCAGAUCCAAAUUCCAGGAAAGCUGAAUUCGAGGUAAAGCUAUCCGCCUCUAUUGAAGCCAGAUGGAUGUGAAAAUUGCUUUAGCAUAUUUAACCCGUACAAGCGUUCCUUCAGAGCACUUAUAUGGAAACUCAUUUUGAGAAAGCAUAAGCAAUCCUACACAAGAAGCUAUUAUGAUUCACGCUUGAAAGCUUUCUUUUGAAUACUUUAAUGAAGUACAUCAGCACACCGCAUAAUCAUGUAGGACUCUGUAGUAGAAAGACUGGAAAUAAACACAAUUUGUGAAGUGAGAAACUCAUGAAAUAGUAGAUCCGGAGAAUCAUGCUAUGGACUCCUAAUUCAAAAAGAACAAAAGGAACAGCAUUCCAGAUGACUAGAUUCUGGGUGACUGUAAGAUCUCUAGCUUGAUAUCCAAGAAUGCUGUAAUGGAACAUCCAAAUAUCAUAGUGAGAAACUCAUAAUAACAUUGUGAUCAGUCAUUUUAGAACUUAAUACAAGCAUGAUGUCAUUUCACAAAGCCAAAAUUCCACAUUGCUAGAAAUGCAUAGACAUAGUGAUCCAAUAAAUCCUUCAAGAAAAUGAAGUCAGUGAUCAGUGUUACUAGUCUUCCUUUUCAUUCAACCAAUGCAAUGGUUCUUUUUCCUCAGCUGGGUUAGCAUAGGACAGGAUCUAUAGAGGCAGGUAACAUCUGUUCACAGUAUAAUUGCAAAUGUAACCAUGACUACAAGCAACAAGUCCUGCUAACUUCUAUGAAUUCCGUAGUCUGAUUAACUAUUAAUCACCAACUGCUUAAAACCAGAUUGAAUAUAUCAGCAAAAAAGAUGUCAACCAAUUAAGCAAAGUUUUGAUGACAGAAGGUUUUAUUACUCCAAAGGAGAAUGAUGCAUCGGGACUUGUUCGCUGGGAAAUGAUAGCACAGGGAGGAGAUUUUACCUAACAUCACCUGUCAUUUUAAGUGAAUUUCAUCUCCUCUACCGUUGCUAAGAGUUUAGCUGCUUAAAGAUUUCCAGCAGUCAAUUUUGUUCAGUUUAGCUGUCUAUCCUCUCAAAGAAAUAGAGGUACCCCAUGUCCUUUGGUGGGUUGACCGAUGCACCAACCUUGCUGUCAUUGAAGAUUACCCAUCUUCCAUCUUUAUACACGUGGGCCACAUAGUGCCCACAUUGAGUGGAGGUACCCAUGUGGCUAACCAGGGCCAUAAGCUUGUAUCCUGCAAGAAAAAAAAAAUCUUCGUUAAAUCUUGAAUUAGGACAAGCAUGGUUGAAAGGAACUAUCAGAAAACUCAUCCUUCUAAAGAUGAAUACAUUUCAUCCAAGAAGAAGCAAUAAAGAGUUCACAAGAUAAAAGUGUAACACUAUGGACUCUAGGGAAAGUAUAAAAUACAAAACAGGCAUAUCCUUUAGCAUGUUCUUUUACCUAAGCAAGAACAACUGCUGCUUAUUUUCUAUGAAACAGGAGAACAAAAUCUAAUCCCUAUAGCCAGAUUCAAAACAUUUAACAACCAGAAGAUCUGAUGCACAUCAUUAUUUUCUUUGCCUCCUGAAGUAUUUUAAAUGACCGAAAUAAACAAUGUUAAUGAUAUAUCAAAAUUAAACAAGUUGAACUGCCUAAGACAGAGCAAGGGCUAGAAAAAUGAUUCAAGGUUCCAAGAGAAAACAAAACAUUUAACACCCCCCCCCUCUCUCUCUCUCNNNNNNNNNNNNNNNNNNNNACUACUACUACUACUACUACUACUACCUCUCUCUCUCUCUCUCUCUCUCUCUCUCUCUCUCUCUCUCUCUCUCUCUCUCUCUCUCUCUCUCUAUAUAUAUAUAUAUAUAUAUAUAUAUAUAUAUAUAACAUACACACGGCACUGUUACUACAAAAAAAGAAAACAGACGUACCAACAGAUUCACUUCUCAAUAUUAGAUACCACUGUUGGAGCCUAACGUCCUCAAAAUAUACAGCUAUAUUGAGGAUACAGAAGACAUGUUAAUAGCAUAUCUAUGAUCUCUGGAUCUUGAUGAAAAUUUGAGAAAUUUCAAGCGGCAUGCACAUUUUCAAACAGAUAUAACAGACAAAUGUGUUUAGCAAUUUGGGCUACCAGCAAUACUCCACAGUACAAAUACUGGCUUAUUCACCUUAAAGCCACAAGUGUACUAGCUUCCCAGGCCCUCGCAACGCAAACAACGAUUUGUCAAGUAGCAUAGCCAAGAGAAUUACAGAUGUUAAAGUUUUAGUAUAGGAAAAUGUCUCCAAAGUCAAAAAAUUCAUGACAAGUUUGAAAACUUGAAGGGAAAAAAAACAAGACGUGCACAAAAAACUAAAGUAAAUGCAAGAAAUUCAUAAUUCUCAUAUGCUUAAAAGAAAAUUUAGGGGAUCAAAGAAACUAACUGCCACUUCCAUCUGGUACUCCUGGAUCACCAGCCUGCGUGCUGCUUGAUGUAGCAUCUGUAUCAACUGAGCUGGAAACUUCCGGGUGGCUAAAUAUCCAAUCCGUGGCUUUCUCAAUGCUCCCGCCCUAGCAAAAGUUUAAACCAAGAUGCAAUUAGUUCAUCAGGGGGAGGGGUAUUGGAGCAGGAGUAUCUCACUCUAACAAAGGAGUGGAUAAAGAAUUAGAGUGAGAUCAAAAACAUUAAAAUAUAAGAGCCCCAAGAAGGAGCUAUAAGCAAUAGCAAGCAUGAGAAAAUUUGUAUUUCGUGUUGACAAAGGAUUGCCUCAUAUCAACAGUAGUUACCAGCAUUACUCAUAUGAGAUGGUAAAUUAAAUAAGGAUCUUACAGAGGUCUUCAAUGCUUUUCGAGCAACCUCUUCUUGAAAACCAAAUGAUAUCAAAGUUUCAACACUUGUUUCAUCAAUAGACAUAAGCUCCACAGUUUUUGAAUCAUGAGAAAUUGGAUCAUCUAUAUCUGCAAAUGGUGAAACAAAUGAAAUCGAAGGCUAGUUUAUUUUUAUCAAACUAUAUUUUUAAAAUAAAUAAGCUCCAACUGGUCGCAUUCUUGAUUACCUCCUGUACAUCUAGAUCUACAGCAACCAGCUCAUCUAUUCAAUAUUUCCAAAACACAAACCUGGAUCAUUCAUGUGAGAUAGCAACCAAUUCAUUGCUUCUUCAACUCCAGCAUUUGAGGUGUUAAUGGCAGCUUUCUGACAAUGGAGAUAAUUGAAGCCCAUGCCUGAAAGUUUUGAAACAAUAUCUUCACUUGCAGCAACAUUUGUAGGUUCCAUCUUCUCACCACUGGAAACUGCAAGACAUGUAACAGUUUGGAAUGCAAUCAUCAGAUACCAAGUUAAAAGAGUCAAACCACUUUAAGAAGCUUCCAACAGAAUUAGCAUAAUCCACCUGUUUCUGGUAGUAAUUCUUCUCCUGGUUGCAGACCUCUGCUGCGCAUGUGUGUGAUAUCAAUUAUAUCGGGUACGUCAAUGUAUACAUCUGAAACACGAGCAUUGAGCAAUAAAUAAGAAGACAAAAAAAAGGUACCAAAAUUGCAAGAUAAAAUUUAAAAUAAAAAGAAAAGAAGGUAUAAACACUGAAAGAGGAAAAUACCAAGUUUCUUUGGUACCCAGCCUUCCCCCAUCACAAAUUUACGCAUAUGCAGUACCAGGUAAUCAGGGAAUGUAACCAAACCAGCAGUCCUGCAAAACCAUGUAGGCAAAGCUUCAUCAACUGUUCUAAAGAUUAAAGCUUUAGACUGUCCCAAUUGUUAAAAUAUUUGAGCUAUAUCUAAUAUCUUAUCUAGUAAAGGAACAUCUUGACAAGCAUAAGGGCGGCCCUGCCCAGGGCAGGCAGCUGUUAACUGCUAUUUUUUUGAUAUUCAAAAAGUGUCUCUGUAUGCAAAAGUAAAUCAGGAAAUGGGAUGUUGACUGCACAUCUAUCAAUUAGAUGACACAAAAUUAUCUUACUAGCCACCUAUUACUUGACUCAACAUCUGAAUGUAAGAGAUUUAGUAAGACACGCCAAACAAGAAAUGAUAGCUUCCCCUUUAGAAUACAAGGCCAUGUUGAUUGCCAACUACCAAAAUUGAUCUCAAUGACUCAGGAGUCAAUGUCACCAGGGUAUACAUUAGCUCUGUGUGUUCUUUACUACAAACAUGUGUCUGCACCUGGAAUGAAAUAAAAUGUGCUGAUAUUAAGUUAAUAGACUUAUGUAACUCUAUUGGCCUGAACCAGUUGGCACCACGGACGGAGACCAAGGAAACCAUACUAUAUAUGUUGUCACUCAGAUUAUCAACAACCCAAAAUACAACAUGUUUUUAUUUUGAAGAUUUACUUCGAGUAUCUAUAAAUUGCAAAACUUAUAUAGCUUUCCAGCAAUCAAGUUUCACACCCUGUUUAAGACCACCUCAGAGAGAUAUAAAAACACAAAAAACUUAAUUACAUUUGCAGUUCUAUCAUGAUGCACAUGAACUUAUGAUAGUAUAGAACCGAUGAUCCAUAUUUACUGAAAACAAGAAAUUUGUAACAAUUUGGGGGCCUAUGUAAAAAGAACUGCCUUAAUUUGUAAGAGUUAUUCGCUUAAGGAGCUGAUUAAUAAGCUGAGAGCUUGUCGAGGUGUUGCGUUAAUAUAAUAAUUAGUCAGUGGCAAUGGUAUAGUUGUGGGUCUAACCAAAAAAAGUGCCUUGCUUCUGCAGCUUAAAUGCAUACGCAGUGCAUUUAAGGUGGUAGAAUCUAGGAUAGCAAGUCGUAUGAUAGCCAAAUAUGCUAAGAAAUUUGCUUCCCUCAAAUACUAGAAUUCUUCUGAUUUUUCUCAAAAUUCAAAUUUCAAGUCCACUUUCGAGAUAAUGCUUCUUAAAAUUUGAAGAAAUGAAAAAAAAGAGAACAGCAUAGAUUUCCUAUGCAUAUAAUAAAUUAGAACCUAAAAGUUAAUUUUGGAUGAAACUGCAAAACCAACCUCAGUUUAGGAUCAAUUUUAGCUGCAACAAAAAUGUUUUAGUUUCAGAGUUCUGACCAAAAGUUCAAAAGUAUGGAUAAAUAUAAGUGCCUGAGCACAACAUGGUGGGUUUGGAGGCAAAGAAACUAGCUUUUUUGGGGGGCCGGGGGAACAGCACUGAUCCUCCAAAAGUCUUUCCCUAUUCUCAGUUACUAGGCUUUCUUUUUCCCUUAUUUUGCAUAUCUGCAAUAGAUUCUUGUUAAUUUAUUUAUGUUAAUUUUUAUUAGGUUAUUUUCAAGCAGUUUGUCCUAUUAUCCAAACAUAACAACUAUUUAUCAUAAUUAUUCUAUUUAUAAUUCUUUACUCGCAAUAGAACCAGCGGCCAAAUGACCCAGGCCUUUAGGUGAGUCAAUGUCCAAUUAAGAUAGGGCAACAUUACCUUCAGUCACCUGCACCACGAUAGUAAGUUGUAGCAGUUUGCUGCUAGUAUUAGGAGUGCUGGAAGCCCAAAUCACCUUGCCAGCCAUAACCUUCUUUAACCCAAUAUUACCCAUUUAAAGCAUUUAUUUUGCUUUAAACACACAGUAAUGGUUAUAUAGACAUCUGAUUUAUUUUAACCUCCCUGAAAAUUUUUAGACAUGAGAAAAUUUGGGAUGAACACCAUAAAACAUAAUUAUCGGCUUCUACUUUUGACACCUAACCUGCACUUCAACCAGUCUGCUUCCUGGUUCUUCAAACCAACCUUAGACCCCAUAACAACCCUCAAGAGAACCAAAAACCAAAAAGAAAUAUUCUGAUUUAUUGGAGAGAACAGUCCUUAUGAAUCUGAGUACUCUUAAAGAUUUAUGGAAUGCACAACAAAAGGAUUGGUGACAAACGUAUAGUCAUGAGAUAGUCAUGACUGUAUAGUCAUGAGAUAUCGAAACACAGAGCCACUCAUUUGUAAUAUUCUGAUUCAUUUGUAAGAUUAUAUGUUGAAGAUUUCUUGUGCCUUCUUUCUGCUUAGAAAUAAUUCUGAAUGGACCUCAACAUGCAGUAAUUUAAAAGGCUUUUACUGGUUUAUGUCAACAAUCACAUAGUCUCCUAGAUUCAAAACCCUUCAGAACCUUUUUUAUUGUCGUCCGUUUCAGAUUACAUACAAGUUUUAGUUGCAGGCAGAAGCAGCACAGCCUUGAUUUGGUAAGAUCAACAUUUAGUUAUAUAAAAAAUGGCAAAGCAUGAUUCAUGGGCAUGUGCCUGCAAAGAUGUUGCUUGGAAAGUUGGCAUGAGAUUUGGUGUAUUAUAUCACAAAUGAAGGUUAAGAAUAAGAUUAAUAGUUGACAUUCUACAUAACUGCUUCUCUCUCUAUACUUAUAUAAACAGACACAUGCACAUAAUACCCUACCAUGUAGGUAGAGUUAUAACACUCCCACUGGAGCAAAUUCUUGAGUUGGUCCUACCAACAAAUGACAAGUUCACCUCCACGUAUUACACCAGAUAGUUUUACACAUUCAUUGCCAUUUGCCCUAUGAAAUCAAUGCACUAAAAGGUGAAACCUUCUUUGCAGUCUUUGUAGGAAAUCAACGGCAUGGGCCAAAUGACAAAAAUACCCCCAUGUCUCUAAAACUAUGUAGUGCAAUACAUGGGGGUUAAUCUUGUCAUUUACCGGAAGGACUACCACAAAAAGUAGGUUCGGUGGCAGAAUCAUAACUCUAUCCAUAUAUAAUGUAUAUAUCAUUUAUCCAUGUAGAUGUAGCAUAUAGCUAGUUCUUUAGGUUUAUAUGAGUUGUUAAUCUAAAACAUUGGCUGUGCUUUAUUUUUCUUUCAAGUUUCUGUCUAGAAAACAAAAAUACAAAAAACAAGGCACGAAUAUGUUUGGUACACAUGUAUAUUUUCUUAUUUUGAAAAAACCAAAGCUCAAGUUUCUGAAAACAAAAGGUGAAAGAAUAAAUCUCAGCUUUCACCUUUUCUUUUUUUUUAAAAAAAGGCAUAUGACAAAAGUCUUGGGAUCUUGAGUACUUGAUGCCAAAUCCAAAUGCCCUUUGAUCUCCUUUACUACAAAACCCAUCCCUCAGAUCAGUCCUUCAAUGAUGAUACCUUCUAGCAUGGCCUUUACCUCGUCCAUAUCUUCAACUUCACUAGACAUGCUGCCAUCAAGCAACCACAUUAAUGUCUGACUCCAGCACAUACCCCUCCUUGAUGCCCCCAACAUUGAGAUCAUGUGGCCCAUCACCUCCCAACCUUAACUUCCUCUGCAUUCACCGUCACUUCUUUAACCUCUCUCCUUGCUCCGACUGACCUUCUUCACUCCAAUCCAGCCAUACUCGAGUGCAAAUAAGGUGGUCCAAAUCGUCAAAAUUGGCGGUGCACCUAUGAACCCCAACCCUCCUCCCCGAGUUGGUCAUCGUCCUCCAUGCCCUCCUCCUCCACCCUUAAGGCCCAUCCCGCCUUUGCAUCACCCACAUCCACAAGCACAUAGAGGUGAUCAAUCACAAUUUGAUGCACUUGCCAAAGGAGGCAAAGAGGCUUAAUAAUAAACCAUUGGAAAACUAGCUUGGACAGCCCAAGCUACUUUUGGGCAAGCAUGAGCAGACUUUUGGCCUAAGGAGCUGGGUUGGACUAAGAUUUUCGGGCCACACUAAAAGAUAGGACAAGCACGAGUUUGCCAAGAUUUAGCCCAAUUGAGCGGUGUAGGUUAUAUAAUUUAUAGUAUUUGAUUAUAAUAAGAGACUAUACAAAAAUAACACAUACCAAAGCAUAUAUAACAGAGAAUCACCUCUCACCCUUUCUCGACGGAAUAAACACAACCACUCAAAUAAACUUAUUUAAUUCCCCACCUUUCAUCUAGGGUUAUUCUCUUCUCUUCUUUGUUAAUCUUGAAUUUGAAGGCAAAGAGAAGACUGACAACCAUAUGCAAUGGAUCAGCUUCUUUCUCUUCAUUAAUCUAGUUUCUUGAAUGUGAUAACACCCCACCAUGGGUCAUGCAACCAAUGGUGUCAAAUGGGCACCUUAUUCAACCAUUUUACCAUAUUUUCUCUUCUGCUCUCUUCUCCUCCCUCAUUUCUACUACCCGGACACCAAUGGCUCCUCCACUACCACCUAGCUGACACUGGCCCCUGAGACCGCCUCCAGACAUGUCCAUUGCAACCUGCCCAAGACCCAUCCUUUCCCACUCUCCACCACCACACCCCACCCUGCUUCCUUCCCGGGCCCCACUCCCUGCCAUAGCCAGAUUGCUGAAAAAGUUAAGAAUUUUUUCUGGUCAAGCCAAGCUACGCCAAUGUCAGAGGGGUUAAAACUAGACCGGGCUCAAGCUAUGAAUGUAAGGCUCGAGGAUAUUCCCCCAAAUCUUAGCACUUAAGACUGAUUGUAAUUUUUUCCAUUACUUUUUUCUUUCAUUUGUUUUCUUCCCUACGUAGGCAAGGCUGGAGGACACACCCCUAGACCAUGAAUUUUUUCUCUGCAGAUUUUCUACACAAAGAACUGAAAACAUUUCAGAUUUAGAUAUAAUAUUCAGCCUGGAAUUUAAUUUCAAAUCAUGCAAAAAUUGCAAAUCUAAUCACCCUAUCCUAUGAGCAUCAUACAUACUACCUCGAAAGCUCCAAUUACCUAACAUCACUGAUCGAGGUUUCUUUAUACAUACUUUUUCCCAAGAUUAUCAGUCAAAGCAUAAACUUCACUCUUUCACAUGCAUAGAGUUAGCACUUUAAUCAUUUUCAAAACUGCAAGUUGUCACUCUUUCCAUAUCAAUUUAAAAACAUCAAACAUAUUAGCUCACAAGAUAAACAACACCUUGAAGUCACAAAGGGACAUCACAACUUAACAUCUCUUUGUAGAAUAAAAGAUACUAGAUUGCAAGAAAGUUGUAUGCGGACAGAUACGCUCAUUCAGGGAGAUCUGAUAGAGAUGACAUUACAAAAGCUUGUGAGCUUCUACAGUGAUAUCAGAAUAAUGAGCCAGGACAAGUACCACUGCAAAUGUGAACUAGAACAGAAAUAGCUAAUUCUUGUCAGAAGAUCAUUAAACAUUUUUCAUCCCACUAUGAGGUCACACCACAGGGCCAAAACGCAAUUUAACAUCUCUUUGUAGAGUAACAGAUAUUAGAUGGAAAACUGCCUCUUGACUGUUCUUUUCUGAAGCCCUGCUGAAGGGGACAAUACAGAAGUUUGUGAUCUUCCGUAUAGACAUUAGAAUAGCAUGCCAAAAACAAGCACCAAUACAAUGUUCGAUAGAAGCAUCAAAGAAAGGCAAUUGUCAAAAGAUUGGCCCAUGGAAAAUCAUUAAACAUAUUGCUUUAACUACGAUGGAUAAUGAUCGUUUGUGCAUGAAAUACCUUAAAAAAAAGUAUCCAUAUAAUGUUUCAACGGUUCCAAUUGUUACAUAUUAGAUAAAAAAAAAAUCAUGUUUUGAGAAUAAUCUUAAUCAAGAAAAUAUGCUAUUUUACCACAAGACCUACUUAAAAAAAAAAGAAAUGAAAAAAGAAACUUGAUUGCUGUCAUCUUAACAUUUAACCCAGCUCUUUAAAAAACAUUCACCACCUCAGCAGCUGAAAAACUAGCUAUGCAAGCUUCCAAGAGUAUUACUUAUGAUCAUGUAUAGAUAGCCAAAAAAGAAUAACAAAACAUAUUUUGAGAAUAAUCAUAACAGGAAAUAUGUUAUUCACCAGUUCUCUUACAUAAAUAUUUCCACUUACUUGAUUGCUGUUGUCUUAGCAUUUAAUGCAGUGCUAUAAAAGCCAUGCACCUCCUCAGGAGCUGAAAAACUUGCUAGGCAUGCCUCCAAGGGCACUCUUGGUCGUACAAUUUCAUCAUUAGCUCUGAUAAAACCAAACCUUUUCAUUACAAUAUUUGAAAAAUGAAAGGCACAGGUGAAAAUCAAUAUAGAAUAUGACAUAUAUAAUGUUCAUCGGUAGCAUACAUUUCCUUCCCUUCCAAGUUCUUUUCGGGUUUCAUCUUGUGAAAUGCUUCUAGCUGAUCUGAAUUAUUUAUUUAAAAGAAAAAAUAGGAUCCAACAUUAGUAAAGGAUCUCAAACAAAAAUUUGGCUUCCCAGCAAAUACCUUUAUUUGUAGCAUCAUGUAAUGGUAUAUUCAGAGAAAGAAUGUUGUCAGUUCUUUUAUUAUAAGCAACUUUUCCAGAUGGACACUGCAGCCGCUCCUCAACAAUAAACUUAAAACUCCUUGAGGGGUCAAAUCCAGGUUUUUCAGCAUUGCCCCGCUCAACUUGGUCAAGCAAAUGUUGGAAAAACUCCAAGGCAUCCUAAAAAGCAACCCAAUGUAAGGAAAUGGUUGUAGACACCCAUCCAGAUGGAAAAUAAAUAUGAGGGAAGCAACCAUACUAAUUAUGUACAAGAAAGAUGAGCUAAGUAGACACUGUUAGUCCAAGAUAUUCAACUAUAUAUUGAGGAGCACUGGUCAAUAAGCAGAGCAGAAAUGUCAUAAAUUAAUGAACCACUUUUUAUUGCUAUACUAUCAAAAUAAAAAAACAUUGCAAGUGCUUGAAAUUCAGCUGCAUAAGGGUGACCUCUAGUACCACAAGGAUGGUAAUAGAAAAUGCAGGAGGACACAGAUUGAGACAGUGGGACAAGAAUUAGAAGCCACGAAUUUAUCUCAACCAGUUUAAAAAUUAAUCUCCAUGGUGGGAUGCUUGGUAAAUGUCAAUAUCUAGAUUCCCAUACCAAAAAAAUUUUAUAGUCAGUAGCAUGGUCAGCGAAACCGUCCCGAACCACCCAGUUCAGGGCGUACCGGUGACGGACCAGGACGGUUCCAGCAAUGAAAACGAGAACCGGCGAUGGAGGGGGAGAAGGAGAAGGAAAAAAGAAAAAGCGAGAGAGAGAGAGAGAGAGAGGAGGGGAAGAGGUGGAGGCUGGCCCACAGAGGGCCGGGGAGCCGCUGCGCGCAGGAGGCAGAGGAGGGGCUCCGCCUCCUCCACGCGACUCGCCAGCCUCCCUCCCACUCUCCCCCUUCUCUUUCUCUUUUCCUCUCUCCCAUUCACCCUCUCCCCUGCCCCCUCCACUGUGUCGGUACGGGCCCGACACAGAACGGCAUGGCACCAUACCGACCCGUGCUGUCGGAGAACUGGUCCGAGGUCCGGUUCCGGCACAGCAGUCCUUAGCCAAUAGUCUGACAUAACCUGCUGCUCUCAAGACUAGCCUUGGUGGGAAGCUUGCAACAUGGUCAAUGUUUAAACUCCCUAAGGACUGGUGUUGACGCUUCUCUUGGCAAGCCAUCAUGAGAAACUUAUUAAUGUGAACAGGGAGUAUUCUUUUAACUCUCUGACUUAAUUGGAUUAGGGUAGUUUUUUUUCAAGUCGGUGAACUUGAUUAACUUUAAUCAAAUCAUUUUACAUGUAUUACAUAGAGAACAAAUUUUUGUUAGUCAGUUCCCUUUUUCUUUUCUGUGCAUUAAAAGGUCUCUUUAGCAAACAGCUGGUUAAUUUUGUUAUGAGUUGUAAUAGAAGCUCUUAGUUGCGUAUUGAAUAAAAAGGUUGUUUUCCUUUAAAGUUCAAACUUCAAAAGCUAUGAUGAACCCAUCAGGGCCAAUACAAGAGAUACCCCUAUAUCAUAAUUUACAAUCAAAAACAAUAUUAAAGAGGUUUCUUUUCUUGUUUCUUCCAUGGUAUAAGUUCAUAAAAUGGAGGCGCAAAUCCUUCAACCAGAGUUAAAAUGGCAACUUACAGAAGGGAAUUCAGGUCCAAAUAAUCCAGGAUAAAGCUGGCGAUAACAUUCUUCAAAAAAAUGAAUGAUAAAUCAUCUUGAGCAAAGUUUGAUUCUGCAUUAGCUUGGCUAAUAUUCAGCUAUGCUUCUACUUCAUAAGGCACUAGAGUGAUGGUACAUGAAGUAAAGAAGAUUUUUAUGAAAUAUUUCUAAUAUAUGAAAAUUCUUGUCAGAUUUUUCUUUUCCAUAUAGCAUAUGUUCUGGAUGGCUUGCAAUAACAGAAAGACUCUUUAAUCAGCUUUCAAGAAUCAUGAUCCAAGUUGAAGAGCUUUCUCAACUUGUCUAAAUUAUUAUUGGUUGAAAUGAAAUAGGAAAUUUGAACUUUAAUGCUUAAAGUAAAAAAACCAUGUAAAAAAAUAUGCAUCAAGUCACUUGCAUGUCCAUUGAUCUCUAGGUUACUAUUACCUGUUGCCUCAUACUUGAAAACUCAGGAUGAUUAGCAGCAAUAACAGUUUUAAACAUACGAGGAGGAAUCCCUUCUUGCUUCUGAAAUGGGAAAGAUGAAAAAUAAGCAUUCAAGUAUCAGCAUGAUAUUGAAGCUGGCCACAAUAGCAAUAUAGAGCGUAAUUAACCUUCACAAACAUUUCAAAUUUUAAAACAGCUAAAAGUGACUUUUCAUUGCCUCUUCCACCAAACUUUUCAAAUUGCGAAGUCAGAUCAAAUCUGUCUUACUCAGUGAACAAAAGCAGUGACAAUGUCAUGAAUAAAUAAAUAUAAUUCGAGAAUCAUUAACUUUCAAUCUACAUGACUCAUGUGUACAUGCUAAUUACUCAAAUCAUAUUGUAUGAUCUCCAAAACCCUCUCAACUUUCACAAUGUACUCUGCGGUUUAUGAAUAGCACCAGGAGAAGGAGGAAAAAAAUUGCUGCAACUGUUGAGCAGUCCAAGUGCCAAGUCACGAUAAAAGCUUAGCAACAGAUCUCUACCAUUUGGAAUCCAUUUUGCAAAUAUUAUCCAAUUGAUUUGACAACAAACAGCAAUCCGCAUUGAUAGGUUAAACCUUGUGCUUACACACAUUCUUCCUCUUUCUGGUGGCAUCUCAUGAAAUAUUUCAUUGGUGACAAAUUCUAAAACUCAUACAUGCUAUCAGUCUUAUGCUCGAUGUUGUGUGGUAUCCCUGAUAACUCUUCAUGCUGAAAAAGUCUAUAAUUUUAGGUAUCUAUAGUCAAGCAAUUUAUGGUAAAGAAUCACAAGCAAAUUAUGCCUCAACAGAUUUUGCGAACAUUUAGUUUCUUAUUAAGGUUAUACCAUUCUUACCAACAUAUAAAAUCUGCAAUAGCACUACGGCAGUUCAAGACUCAGCUAAAGGUCAAAAAGUACACCAGGAGAACUUACAGCACUUGAGGUUGUGGUUUUACAAUCUCCCACUUCAUCCAUCUGGUUGAUAAACAAUAAAUCAUUAUACUCAACACAGGAUAAGAAAAUUAUGCAAGAAAAUCUUUAAUGUACCUCUUGAGCCGGAAAAGAGUAUUUACCAGACAGCAAACCAUACGCCAGUUUAGUCCUAUGUCAAACAAUAUCCAUUAACUUGAGAAGAAAAUUAAGACAAUAAUGCCAAAUGGAACAACUUCGGAAUGACCAAGACUCAAAUACCAAACAAGGGUAGCAUCAAAAUAAUAAACAAAAUCAAAUGAAUGUCACAUAUUUAUUGCAGUUCCUGAAGAGCUUUCCCUUGACAAUUAUACUGAGAUUGAUAUAAUAGAAUGCACCAUUGUAGUGAUCCAUGGUAUAAGAACUAGGCCAAAAUGAGACAUUUUGCAAGAAGGAUUUUUACUUUUUUAUGCGGUGAGCAGAAUUUUUUACUUUUUUAUCUAUCAGCAAGUAUAUACUGGUAACAGCUCCAGUUUUAGAUGUUGUUUGAUUUCGUCUGAAACAUAUGGUUUUGGCAGAAAAAUUUCAUAUUGUCAAAAAUGUAAAAUGGAAUAAUAUCAUCAAGGUAAUUUUAACUUGAUAUGUACCUAUUAGUAUUCACAAUUGAAAAAAAAAAAUCUCAAACUACUAGAAUUUUUUACCAUUCAGAAAUUACUAUAGAUUUCAAAGCAUUUAAGCUCAUUUUGUUGGAACAGAGACCAGCACAUUUGAGUACAAAUAAAUUGUAAUGCAGUCAAAAUUUACUACAGCAUUCUUAUAGAACUUUAAAGCUAUUCAUUUUUUGUAUGGGCAUGUCAACAUAUAUCAUGUUGUUAGCAUUACCCUAACAUUUCUCAUUUUGUAACUUUAAGACAUCUCCUUCUGUUGCAGCUUAUUUCAGUGUGGAACUAGCUAAUUGAAACAACAACCCUUUUGACCCCACAACUGGACGGGCACAUAUUCCAACACUGUAAAUGUAAAAUUUGAUACAAAACCAGAACGAGCCAAGAAAAGGUAUUAUCUAAAUUAUCAAGCAGUCAGUAAUGGCAAACUGCACCAGCCAAAAUUAAGCAUUUAAUGGCAAACUGCACCAGUCAUAUGAUGCUAUAUAGUGUUAGCUUUUGCAUAGACUCAACAAAUAUUAACAUAGAUCUAACUAUUAAGAUCAGUAACAGAAGAAUUAGCCUCAGUGCUAUUUAGAAGAAUCAUGCAAUCCUAAAGUUGUAAUGAUAGAUAACAUUUUCAUUUAAGACUACUUUCUUAGAAGUGUCAGUUAAACAUUCACUUACAACUGUGUAUUCAAGUCUAGUGUUGGAUCAGCAGGAGACAUCUCAUAUGCCAUUUUCAAACUCUGUUUCUCAUAGUAUCUGAAAGGAUAACAGGCAUCAAAAUCAGAAAAGAAAUACAAGAGCACUACAACAUUGACAAUUCUUACAUGAGUAGUAUGCAUACUUACCGUGAAAUGAAAGAACGAGUUGAGAAAACCACUUGCAUGGUUGAUGCCAUAUAGCAGCUGGCAAAAAUUAAAAGAAAAGCAACUAUUAAUUUUGAAAGAAGACUACAUGUUCAAUACCUCUCAUCUGAUUACCUAUUCCCAAGAUUGACAAGCCCGGUAUAGCCUGGUCCAAACAAGGGUUCCACUUCCUGCCCACUUUCCUGUAUCCGAUUCCAGUCAAAAUUUAUGUUCUGGUCCAAUUCUCUUUCAGCAGUUGUCAUUUCAGUCUGCAAUAAUGAGGUUUAUUAUCAGUAAGAAUGGCUAUGCAUCUUUUGGUAAUAAUAUCAUGAAGCGAGUCCAUGAUAAUAAAGAUCAUGCAUGCCCGGUAUCAACUACAAAUGCAACUGACAACAGUUGUUCAGUAUCUUUGCCAUAAGCUUUCAAUGCAUGUUGGUGCUGCCCUUCGUAUGUACUAGAGAUAUUACAUCAAACAAAAAUUCCUAACAAAUCUUAUAGAAGUCACUUUCCCAUGAUUAAACAAAAUAAAUAAUACAAUCACAUCUUGGUGCUGCGUCGAUAUUAUAGGCCAGCUGUAACAAUGCAAAACCUCACCCAAAAAGGCUAGCCAAAAGGUAUUAUUUGAGUUCUUUGAUCUUGUAUAAGUACCCCAGAUCUACCCAACGAAUAACCGAUGUGGGACUAAACACACGCUCACAUGGGUCUCACAUACUCUCCCUAUUUAAGCCAUAACGUCCUCAUCAGGCUAAAAGUUCAAAUCCAUUCAAAUAUAAUCACAAGCACCGCGCUCAGCUCGUGGUCAGCCCCAGUGAAUCCGUGUUGCAGUGUCUCCUAGUCCACAUAGGUUAUAGGUCAGGUGCGCUAUAAUACCAUUUGCAACAACCCAGAACAUCACCAAAAAAUGCUAGCCGAAAGGUAUUAUUUGGGCUCAUUAAUCUUAUAUAAGUAUCCAAGAUCUACCCAACGAAUAACCGAUGUAGGACUAAACACACGCUCGCACAGAUCCUCAUAUAAAAUAGCGACGCGCCCAGCGCGCUAGGACACAAUUUUCCUCACAACUCUCAAUAUAUUUUUGGGGUGAGAGAGGCUCGAACUCUCAACCUUAGUGUUCCUCAAUUGCUAUGAGACCUUCACAAUAUACAACUGCGCCACCACCCAAAACCUCACCUAAAAAGGUUAGUCAGAAGGUAUUAUUUAGAUUUUUUUGAUCCUGUAUAAAUAUCCAAUAUCUACCCAGCGAAUAACCGAUGUAGGACCAAGCACACGCUCACACGGAUCCUCACAUACUCCUCCCGUUUAAGCCGUAACGUCCUCGUCAGGCUAAGGGUUCAAAUCCAUUCAAAUAUAAUCACAAGCAUCAAGAUCAGCCCGUGGUCAGCCCCAAUAGAUCUGUGUUGUAGUGUCUUCUAAUCAACGUAGGUUAUGGGUCAAGUUUGCUAUGGUACCAUUUAUAACAAUCCAAAAUCUUACCCAAAAAGGCUAGCCGAAAGAUAUUAUUUGAGUUCUUUGAUCUUGUAUAAGUACCUAAGAUCUACCCAGUGAAUAACCGAUGUGGGACUAAACACAUGCUUGCACGGUCCUCGCACCAACAUGAUUCCAGGUGCAUCUCUUCAGAGCGGUCUUCUUAAAGGUCGGCAAAUCAGCAAAAAAUAAGGCCGCAUACUAGUGUAGAUCAGACUUAAUGAGUGGUUGGUGACAUGUAGAACAAAAGUGAAGCACUUAAAAAUAAGGUUGAAAAUCCAAUUUUGGUAAAAGGUAAAAUGCACCAAACUCAAAGACUAGUCCAGCUAAUCAGCUAUCGUUCAUCAACUAUUUUUUAGCCUCGAUGAUUCCAGGGACAUGCAAGUGUACCUAGUGUAUGCUCAUAUGCAUGCAUCUUUGUCCUUAUAUGCUCAAAUGCCACAAGUUCUGGUCAGAUCCCUCUUUCCAAACUCUGUGAGGACUCCUAAAAUAGAAAGGAAUCAGCAGAAACAUGUUAAUUUAGGUGGACUUAUCAACUAUAACAGUCCCCCAAAAUUUGACUCUACCAAGACUCUUAAUAAGAAAUAGACGGACACCUAUUGGGCGCCGAAUUGCAGCCAAACUACUGCAUCAAAAAAAAGCAUCUAAAACAGUUCCUUAAAAAAUCAACAAAGCAAAUCCUAAUGCAAUCAGAUAAUACUAUAAUAAAAUAAAUGAAUGGCAUUAAAAGAACCCAAACAAGACCAUAAAUGACAUUUGUUUGACCAGCAAGAAUUGGCCAGAUCAUUAUAACUGGCAACUCUUUUCUAGUCUUUUUGCUGCACCUAGCACUAACUGUUAGUUGUUACUAUUACUAAUAUUGCUAUUGUUUAAAAAAAAAUACCAUCAAUAUUGUUGUUUUUCUAUGUAUUUAAUGUAUUUGUUAAGUAGUUCAAAAAUAGUACUGCUAAGCGCCUGCAUAUGCAGCCUGCAUACCAUAUAUGCGCUGCAUGGUCCCUUGACCACCCAUAUACCGCAGCCACCUUUUAAAAUGCAUGUCCCCUUUCCCUCUUUUCUAUCCUUAAAAAGAGCUCAAAGCCCACCUAGAGGUAUAACUAGAGUAAGUAAUUUAAGACCAUGCCACCACAAAUGAUAUUUCCUAAUUGGUCCUUUUUGGGAACUGCUAUUCCUACUCUAAUGUGUAAGAUUAUCAAUAUUUUAUAAAAUAAAAAAGUAUGAAAAAACACAGUGAUGAUGAAAUAACUAAGAAAAUAGACUAAGAUUAGAGAGGACUUUUCAGCGUGGUCUGCAAGCAUAAAAAUAAUGGCAGUAUUUCAAAAAAUUACAUAAACAUGAUGUUCAUGUGAGAUAUUACAAGAACAAUAAAAAAUAACAGGUGUUCAAAUACCAAUUUCAGUAUGGAUAGGUAAAAAACCAGUUUUCAUUGUUCUAUAGAAUAGCAACUUUACAUGGUCUUUUUUCAGAUAGGAAAAGUCAAAAAGGCAUGAAGAAAGCUAAGCAAGUAUUAGAUAGUAUAAUUUAGCACAAAAUAAAUCAAUAAAUAAAUAAAUUCUUGCUGUGAGGACACAUAACCAACCUUUUGCAGUGACGAAAAGUUGAUGCCAAAAAAUGCCAAGUGUUGAGCCAAUAAAGGAUCCUCAACACUAUCAUCCUCCGGGUAAGAGAAAACAUCUGAGCUGCCAUAAUAACUUGAUAUAAGUAACAGAUGAUACAAAAAUAAAUUUGUGAUGAGUUAAUUCAUCUGUUUAUGAAUGAAAAAAGACAAUUAAUCGGUUUUCCAGUCUCAUGUCUCUUGAGUGUAUGAUUCAAUAUUAAGUUAAAUCAUCAAACAUUAAAUUACAUUUAAUUUGAUAUUGAGUUUGGAUGAUGCAAUUAUGGGUUAUUAACUUAUAUCUAUACACAUUCAAUCACAACUUGUACAUUUGUAAGUUGUACAUGCGAAGGCAAGGCUAGGGGAUUCCCUGUCUGUUCGAGAAAAACUACUCAAGUAGAUGUCAUUCACUGAUUAUGAUAUUAUUCAAUAGAAUGAUUUUGUGCCCUUUUGCUGCUAAUGAUACUGCAACCUAACCUAAAACCUUUCCAAAGUUGUCUAAUUUUAUGCUACUCAAAAUUAAAAAUUAAUAGUAUGAUAUAGCGCCACUAGAGGAUAGACCAGCAAAGGGUGGACAUAAGAAAGUAUAAGAAUCUCAGGGUUAAGGCAAUCUAUCAUCUAGUUAUCUUGCAACAUGAAGCAGGAUAGAGCAUCCUUUCUUUGCAAUUUUAAAAAUUAUAAGGUUCAACAAAAAAUUAUUAGGUUGUCAUGAGAAGUAUGGUUCCUGAGGAAUCUACGGUUGAUCAGAGAUGCAACAAAGGUUAGUAGUUGACAUGCAAACAAAACUUAAGUUACAGCGAAUAGUUUCAGCAAAGAGUGACAUGACAGUGAUCGUAGAAUGACUGUAGAGAAAAAAAGUAUUCAAUCUAGGGUUGACUCCCAAGUUUAGCAGCUUCAAAAAUCUAAGAUUUUUACAAGAAAUGAGACCUAAGGUUGCUCUAACAAUUUAUUGCAAACCUGUACUCAGAUUAAAAUCAUAAAAUAAGUAGACAGCAGCAAUUAAAAAAGAGUAGAAUGCUUGAGAACAGAUAGAGAGUGAGAAGAAUGUUUUGAGAGAACAAAGAAAGUAAGGUGAAGCAAACGAGAAAUGGGAGGUACAAGGAAGAGAAGCUAAACCUCACUGCAUUUUUAUCUCUUUCACAUGUCUAAGACUUCAACAAUCUGUAUUCAAUUAACUAAACCACUUGCUCUCUAUGUUAUCUUAUUGAAGUCUCAAAGGCACCCUUAAUAACUAAGUAACCGGUCACCCAGAAAAGGGCCUAGAAUAUUUUCUAAAUUAUAAAAUUUGGAUUCCAAUGGAACCCAAAAUAGAAAGACACCCAAGACUUUCCCAAACUAAGACCUGAUUACGAAAAGACUUACCAGCCCAAAAUAUACAUCAAAUAGGACCUCUACACAGCUUCUCUUGCUGAAAAUAGGACACAUAAACCAACACCACAAAUUUCCUUUAGAAAAGAUUCAGAGCAACAAUGAAGUUCAAAAUAUUUAUUUAGUCUCAACAUUCAUAUAAUAUAUAUGGGUAUAGCAUAAACCAACAAAAAAGAUCCCAUUAUUUCCCAUCCAUUAUGGGACAACAUCACAAACUUUACUUUGUUGCUUACUCUAUCAACAAGCAUAUCUUGCAUCACCGCAAUCUUCCUCCCUUUCAUCUGGUCUAUCCCCAUCUUCCUUCCAUUAUUUGGAGCCCUUGGGCUGGAACUUGGGCAUUACCUACUUACACAACUUGCUUAUGUUGCAAAUUAGUCAUGAUCAUCACAUUAUCCUAUAUUCCAUCAAUCGUUGACAUGUUACCAUUAAACUCCUCAAAUUAUGUAUCCUUGUGUUGAGACAGCACUUCAUAAUCCUUAAAUUUAUGAUUCCAGACCUUUAAGCAUGGAGUCACUUUAUUCUCUAGGAGGUCAAAUCAUGUGAAAUGGAUAAUCUUAUAUCAUCCGACAACAAUAUACUUAAGCGGCAAGAUGUCAAGUUGACAGGCUUUUAUCAAAAGAAGAAAUAUAGCUGUAGUGUGCACCUUCAAUGAUCAUGAGAUUUAUGUUGCUGAUCUCUCAAUUUUGUAUAUCAUAUCCUCAUAGAUUGAUACCAUCAGUAACAACCUAGAAAACAUACCUCAUUCAAACUUUAGCACUAAAUUUUUUUGUUAAAUUUUAGCAUUAUGACUUUAGUGUUGCGUACAGUAACAUUAUGACAAAAGUGUACAUGUGGACGUGGGCGCAUACGCCCAUGCUUUCAUGUGUGUGUGUGUGUGUGUGUGUGAGCGAGAGAGAGAGAGAGGAGGAACNNNNNNNNNNNNNNNNNNNNCUUCUAUGUGUGUGUGUGUGUGUGUGUGUGAGCGAGAGAGAGAGAGAGAGGGACAAAGAGAUUUUUGGCUGCACAUAUUUGCAAAGUUAUUAUAGAUUUUACAUUUGAGUACAUAAAUACUACAUAUAAGCAUUGUUCCCUCAUGUCCUUGUAGUACAACAAAAAAUAACCAGCAAAAUGGUUUUAUGGUUUUAGCAAAUUGUGAAGUGCUAUUUAAAAAUUUAGAUCAAAUAAGAUGCUAACAUAAGGCGGAAAAGAAAAGGAAAAGAGGAAGAUAUGUUGCUGGACUUGGGUGAUGAGAAUGGGCUUACAAGACAAGCUGCAUGUCUCAAGAUAUAACAUGUUUUAUCCUAGCAGGUGGCAUCUAACUUGACCCAGACUAGAAACCAGGGCAGGGUUUUGUAAACUCGAGGUGUUAAGGACUAAACCUGAAUACUGAAACAAUUUGAUUGGUCCACCUGGACAGGUGGAGUUGGUUCUAUCCUAAUCUGAAUCCUACCCAUCCACUUAAGAAGUUCGGGUAGGAUAGCUCUAUUUAAUAUUUGUUCUGUUCAAAGCUUUACAGGAUAAACUUUCAAUUUUUCUUAAGUCUCAUAAUCAAGUUUGGUGUACUUUUGCCAAACAAACAAACAACCCGGUAAUAUAUGUAAGGGUAGCUUUAUGGCGCAAACCCAAAAAAAAAGCAAGUUUUCUAAUUUAGAUUGGGCAAAGACUGGAUUCUUUUCUACCUGCAACACUAGCACCAUUAUUUAUCCUCCUAAAUAUUAGUGUUACCUAUACAAUUAUAGAUUAGACACAAUGCUAAGUAUUUAGGUGUCCCAAAGAGUCCAACACGUUAACCCCCAAAAAAAAAUCACAAGAGGCUUCCUUUUAAUGCAGUUUUCUUUUUUACAAAUAAAAAUAUAGUCACACACACACACACACACACACACACACAUAUAUAUAUAUUAACUUGGCUACUAAACUACAUAGAGUAAUCGAAGAGACUUUUUGGCAAGGUUUGCCAUAUCAAACGAACCAUACCCAACAUAUCAUACCUUACUGGUACCGAACCAGUAUGCAGUCUCAUACCGUAACAACCCUCGGUAUCCCUCAUCGUCUCGCACCAUACCACAUACCGACACUGUAACAAGAUCGUACUGGUAUGGGGUCCAGUACUGAGAUGGUGAAUCUUGCUUUUUGCUAACAAAAUUUUAUUCAUAUCAAUAUUUUAUAGGGAAAUAAUUCUAGCACUUGAAAUGGAUGGGUAAGUGACAUCGCUUGUAAUGAAGUGUCGUCUAAUAACACACUCCAAAAAGUUGUGCCAAGAGUUGACACUUUUGGUAGAUGUAAGUUGAACACUCCAUUUUCUAAAGGGUUACAAGGUGUCAUGCUCUUUUAUGUCCAACUAUUUGGUAGUUUUAAUACUUUGAAAACCCAUAAAGAGAAGAUUCCAUACACCCCAGCUAUGGAGAUUUACAAACUUUAUAACAUCUACUUAUCCAAAAUUUUGAGAUACAAAAUUUAGAAUUCAUUAGGAUAAUUCAUGAAAUUCAUAUUUCAGAACCUUGAGAAAAAUCAAAUGACAAUCAAUAGAUUAUAUAAAAAAAAAUUCAUAAAACUAAUUCAAACAAUAAUUUCUUCUUUCUUACAAAUGAAGCAAUUAACAGACUCUUCCUCAGAAACAGCAUCAAGAUUUAAACAUCUAAACCUAGUACUUUAAAAGCCAUUAUCCCCAAGAACUAUGAGAUUUAAAGAUUCAGCACCAUUCCAAUGUAAAAGGUAAGAUUGAUUUCGUGUUUGCAAAGAAAUCAACAACCAAAAAGAAAAUUAUAGUGGCAUGCUCUCUCAAAUUGCAUGUUUACUAGACUCUAAAAAGAAUCAGAAGAGCUGGUUGCAAUUAUAAUGUCCAAUUUAAAUCCACUACAUUGACCAACAAAUUUAAGAAAUAAACAAAACAAAAGGAAUUUAAGUUUACUUCAUAGAACUUGAAGCAUAAAGCAAUUUAGAGUAAAAAUAAAUGCUAAAACAAGAUUCAAAUUUCGGACAUACGAGAAAACUUCAUGUAACAUGCAGGCAGCAACUCACAACACUGUUAUGCAAAAUGUAUGCAUGAUUAAGGGUGUAGACCAUCCUACAUCUGAACAGCAUGUGAAAACAUUACCUGCUCCAUCCAAAUCAGCAUUUAUAGUUCCAAGUUUUACAGCAAGAGGAUAGUUUGUCUCUUUGUAGUGCUCCAUAGCAUGAUUAUUGCCGCCACUGCCAUCCCAGUUUCUCCUUCCACAGAGGAUCAUUCCAUCGGUUAAGUUCAGCCAGAGGUUAUCAGUCUUGUCGCAUUUGCUACAUUUCCACCCAGAUGGAGGAACAACAACACCAUUGUUAAUCUGUUGCAGGUUCAUGGCAUAGGCACUGACUUUCUUUUUCUCAGCAGUCCAAGAUGCUAAUUGCCCUUUGCGUUCAGCACCUUCAGCAAUUAAAAUGGAAUCGACAGCCAGCCUAACCUGCAAAUUUACAACAAAUUGAAGUAUAGAAUAUUUUAUGAUUUUUCACCUAGAUGCUCAUUGUAACAGGAAAACGAGUACCUACCUUUUCUGGCAGCUCAACAGAUGGAAAUGGGAGAGUAACGUAAUCAGGUAAUAUGACAAUAUCAUAAGUUUCUUCAUAUUCUGGUUCUUGAUUAUCAAAACCUCCCUCCAUACCUAUCAAAGACAUUAUAUCAAUAAUCUCUUUUAAUGCAAAAAAUGAAUGCAACUAUUUUUGUUAACAAACAAGAUAUAAAAUGUAUAAUAGACAUAUUAGAAACUUAGAUACUAUUUUUCCACUCCAAAUUCAAGCUACAAAACUUAAGCCCAAGGCCUCAUUGAGACAACAUGGUGGCACUUAAUGUUAAGAUAUGACCCAAUUGGGCCAGUCAAAACUUAUGUCCACUUGUUCAACUUAGUUAGAUAUGAACCUCCUAAUCCAUUCAUGCAAACUCAUGCACCUCUCCUAACUGAGCUUUUUCUUAAAUUUUUAUUGCACAUGUCCAUACCAUAUCAAACAAUUCUCUAUCUUUUUGUCCUUAACUAGUGUCAUUCUUACAGCUCCACUAAAGUAUUCAAUCCUUGAUUUAUCUUGCAUAUUAUUAUCAUGUAUUCAACUCAACAUUCUAUACCAUACAACAUUAUUUAUCAUAUGAACAUCUUACAAAGGCAUAUGAUCAUCACAUAGUGCUUUACAAGAACGUAUCCGCUUCAUUCACCUAGCUUCAUCCAUAUAAUACAAGGAUACCAUAUCCAAAUCAUCAAUCCUUGUCCCAAAUUCCCUGGGUUGGCUCCACCUCAUUCACCAACCACUCAUAUUAUGGGUUCAUAUAGUACAUAAUUCCAAGUAAAUAACAUCAAAGAGUUAACACAAAGCAAAUAACAUCAAUGGUCAACACACUACAAAGAAACAAAUUCACUAUCCAUCUCUGACACAUUGCUAUCGACCCCAGACAAUAUGAAGAAACAGGUAAAUAACAUCAAAGAGUUAACACAAAGCAAAUAACGUCAAUGGCCAACAACUACAAAGAAACAAAUUCACCACAUUGCUAUCAACCCCAGACAAUAUGAAGAAACAGAUAAAUUUACAUUAUGUUCGAGUGUUCCGCUCUAUUAUUUCAGAUUUGAUCUUAUUCGAUACUCUCCCUCUUCAUGUCACCAACUUAUGCUUCCAAGCAAACCUCUGAUUAAAUUUCAAAGAAUAUAAAUACUACCAAUCUAACAAAUUUACAUGCAUAAGGCAUUAACAAGUUUUCCACACAAGAAACAUGGAAAGUUAAGGUUUCCAGGUAUUAGCAUUCAAUCAUAUCCAUAUAUCUAUGUCACUGCAAGAAUAGUCCAUAAAGAGCACCAGCAAGUCAUUAUACUUCCAACAUUUUCUUGAGAAUGAUUUCAGCAACACUAGUUCUCCCACAUAUAUUCAAUAUCACUGGCUUGAUUAAAAAAGAAAUGAAAAUAGCUGCCUAGAGCAACUUGAUCUAGGUGAAAGCAUAAUAAUGGUGCAUGCUCAGAUUGGAUGAUCCCAUGAAAUUCCCAAAAGAAUAAAAAAAAAUGUUAAAAGAAAAGGGAUACAGGCAAAGAUAUACUGGCGCAUUUCCUAAGACUCAAAGAUAUAAAAUUAAAAACUAAACAAAUAAUCAUAAGAUCCAGGCAAAAAAUUCCUCAAUGUGUGAAGUGAGCUAGAUUUGAAACUUGUGGGGAGUAUUAAAUAUUGAUCAGGAUGGCUUUACCUCGUCGAUUUUACCUCCCUUCCCUUCAAAAAAAAAAAGAAACGAAAAAGGAAUUUUGCAAUACCGUAAAUGUACGACUUUUCUAGUCACAGUUGAUAAUUUUGCACUCUUCCUAGUUAGAUUUCAACCACUACACCCAGUAAUUCCACCAUCAAGACCGAUAGGGGAAAAAAACAAAAGAAAAGACAGUUCUGAAGGCAAUCAGGUACCGAUGGCGAGAAGGGUGGGUUUCUUGAGGGGCCGGUCCUCACGGACGGGCUUCCUCCUCUGCUGGAUGUGGAGGUAAACCGGGUUCCCCGUCUUCUCGUAGUUCCAGCCGACGUACUCCUUCCCAAACGCAAGAAACGAGCACAAAUCCACAUACAGCCCCCCUUCCGACCUCUAAACCAGACCAGAUCACCAUCAAACGACUUGAAAUCGGAAAAAAAAAUAAAGAAAGCAAGAAUAGAUCGGAGGAACCCUAAAAUUCGGGAAGAGGGAGGGAUUACCGGGGUGUCGAAGGAGAUGCAGCACUCCUGCUUGUAGAUGCGGUUGGUGGGCUCGGGGAUUCGGACCUUGGAGAGGUGAGAGCGGAGGAGCUCCAUCGGGGACGGGAUCAUUCCAGUAGGGUUUUGGGCGGGGUGAGCCGAAGGGGCGGGGAAACGGCAGCGGAUAGUAGGCGCAUAACUGCAUAAGUAGGCCUGGAAGAAGCGGCCUCCGGCCAGCUCCUGACCGUCGAGCCGGGCCGACUUCGGACCUGGCUAUGGGCAAGGCCCAGGUACGACAAGUUUAGGGCUUAAAAUUAGCUCCGUUUUGGGCCAAGCUCGAGCAGCUAUGUAGCUCUGCCCGGGUCCGGCCUGAGACCGAGCCCGAGCCUGGCAUCCAGAACCAGGCUGAGUCCAUAGAACCUAAUUCUAAGCCCAGGGACGAAAAGCCCAAACCAGGUUCAGCAACAUAAAAGAGAGGGAGCGAGGAGCCUCAAAUUUAGAGUGGAUAUAAUGAAAGAUAAGAUGGAGGCGCAUGUGGGGGAGUGGGAGAAUGGGAAAGAGGAAACCCAAAUGGUGAGAUGGAGAGAGAAGAUAAGGGCUCCUAUUUGAUCAACCCGUGCAUCCGGAUAAGUGAUCCUGUUCGAUUGACUCGUGCAUUUGAUAUUGAAUUAUAAUUUAACUAUGAAGUUAUCAACCACCGGAUAUUCUUAUGAAUAUUAUUUUUUAAAAUAUUUAUGUAUAUAGUAUAAAUAAUAUUAUAUUUUGAUUUCAAUCAACUCAAGCUCAACUUAGGUUGAUCUUGGCUCAGUCUAAUUUUCGAGCUCGAAAAUCUGGCUCAAGCUCGGAUCUUAUAAUGAAUAUCAAGCUAAAUGCAAAUAGCCUUGCAAACUACUUGCUUAUUUGAUAUGUCCAGUAAAAAGACUACAAUCUACCUUAAGCGACAUAAUUCUUGAGUGAAUACAAAUUUUGUUGGAGUGCUCUUGUUAGAAGGCAAAGGGCAUCAGUUGAGAUGCACUAUAGAAACCUAUAAAGCUGUUAUUUCACCAUUUUAAUUUCUAGUGCCGAACAUGAGACCAUCAAAACAGUCAAGGACCUUGCAGACAUAAUACCUGGCUAAUAUAAUUUAUUAAAAAGACUUGUUUACCACGCUAAAGGGAAUAUUUCAAAGUUGAGCCUUCUUUCUUAUUUUCGUUUAGAAAUUUACAAGCAUUGUUAAUUAGUUUGAAAUGUACAAGCUUCCAUCAGUUUACUCGCAUGUAGAAAGAGUUACUGGGAAAUAUUGUUUAUCUAGAUAUGCUGAGAUUCUAUUAUUAUUUUUAUUUUAUUUAGUUUUUUCUUCUAGAAUAUUUAUCAUUAUCAUUAUGUAGUUAUAAAGUUUUGUCUUUUAGUAGGUGUUGGUUUUUGAAUUUAAGUAGGAAUCAAACAACUCAUUAAUAAUGCUUUAUUUAAAGAGAUCUUUGGUAUUUCAUUUAGUGUAACGACAUAACAUAAGAAAAUAGAGGAGGAGAGAACGAGAGUUGUCAUUUUUGGUGAGAAGUGUGAGUGAGCUUUUUUUUUUGUGUGUCUGUGGCUCAAUUUUUUAAUAUUUUUUAUCUCUUAGUUAUUUUUCUUCUAGCUAUUUUUUUUUAUUUUUUUAUUUAAUGUUUGUUCUAUAACUUAGGCCGGCACGAUCAAUUUACUCUGCGUAGAAUGCAGUUAUAUAUGGUAUCAAAGUUAUGGGCUUGCAGAUCAUUUAAAAGUUUACAGUAAUUUGCUAUGCAGUAGUGUAUGUGUGUGGACUAAUUCAAGAGGUGAAUCAUUAUGGCUGAAGCUAUGAUCCUCUCUUGAAGUUGGAUCAAAAAAUUGAACAACACUAAUUAUACAUAUUAGAAACAUAAAUAAUGUAUAGUUCCAAUAAAAAAGAAACAUAAAUAAAAUAAAUUGAUAAAAAAAUAAUAUUUGUUAAAUAGGAUUUGAUGUGAAAUAUAUGCUCUCUAGAUCAAAGCUAACUUACUUAUUUGUAUCCUUGCGAGAUUAAAUAAUUUUAUAGAUUUGGAUUGAGUCGAGACAGAUCCUAGAAUUGGAAAUCUAAAAUUAUUUAAAUUUUAAAUAGAUUCGACCCCACUCCCCAAACCAACACUGCCGUCUGCCGGGCUAGCUCGGGCUCAGAAUUUUAGGCAGGAGAUUCCCACGAUAAGGCUUCGCCCUCCACGGUCGGUAUAUCUAUAUUCUAUACUACAGUGCAUACCGAACGCGUCCUUCGCUCUCUCCUCGUCCCCGUUGCGCGCGCUUGAGAAACCCUAGAUCUCUUCGCAGCGAUCGAAACCCCGAUCAAUCCCCAAGGUGCGCUGCUCUCAUCAUCUGAGCUUCGAGGGUUUACUUAGCCGACUCGAUUACGCUAGAUUUUGUUGGAGAUAAUGAUCUUUUUUUAUCGUUCCGAGCUCACGUGAUUUAGCCAGAAACCAUAAAAUUCGUCGGAGGUUUUUACAAGGACGUCUUUUCUUUUGUUUAUGGAGGUCUACGGAUCCAAACUUUCUCCUCUUUUUGGGAUUUAUGAUAUAUUUUUGCUUUUUGUCUUGCUUCUUGGGUUUCUAGAAUCGGAUGAGAAGAUGGGAUCGUCUCAGAAGAAGAUCCCUUUCCACAGACACAGGGAAGUGGAGGAGGCCAGGAAGAAGGUAAGAAAAGCUCGGUCCCCUCUGUUUUCUUGAUUUCGAACUCCGGGCUGAACUAUGUGAUUAAUUAUAUAUUUAAAAAAAUUUGCAUGGUGGAAUUUCAAGAGGGAGGACGAUGAAGCUGCUCGUGUCUAUGCCGAGUUUGUUGAGUCUUUUAAGGCCGACAGCACUCUUGGGUCAAAGGCUUUUGUUAGAGGAGGAGUUAUCGAUCCAAAUGAGAAGCUGAAGGCGGAUUCAGAAGGUUGGUGUUACGCAGUGAUGAUCACACUCGUUUAUUUACUUUGACCUCUAACUUUUAAUUUCUUGCAAUGGAUGCAUGAAUGUUCUUUUUUGUUACAUGAGCGCAUUAAUAAGAAGAUGGGCCUUUUUAUUCAUUCGGCAAUGACAGGUGGAAAGUCCAAAGAUGGGGCAUCUGUUCCAAAGAAGGGAAGUAGGUAAACAAAUGUAUUUUGAUUCUUAAGAGAGGAAUCUUGGUGGUAGCCAUAUUCCGUGCUUAGAAUAGAGAACAGUGCCAUUUCAAUUGAUCAGACUACAAUGCAUUUAUUAACUGCUUGUCACUUUUGAUGUAGGAAGAUAAUACUAUGGAAUAAAGUUUUUCUUGUAUCUAUUUCAAUACCUUAUAAAAUAUACAUCUCUGUACAUGCAUAUAAUCUGUUGUUUAGAUAUCAAUGCAUUUUACUAUGUGAAACCACCUUAUCCUUAUUGCAGAAACUUUCUAGCUUAGCAAAACCCUUGCUUCCCUGCUGCAUGAUCUUAAAAUAUGCAUGUGAUAAAAUAUGUUUAUAUACUUGGUAAUUUACAGAUUAGCUUUACUUCCAGUUUCUUGUUGGCCAAAUUUGCGAUUAAGACUCGGUCAUUGUUUCCAUAAUGAGUUGACUGUAAAUGGGGAGCUGGUUGUAAAACUUUUUGCAAAUCUCAUAGAGUCACGAAUAAAAUUCCAUAUUGAAGAAAUAAAGCUUGUUAGUUUCAGGUCAAAGUAUGCGUACAUAUGUCCACACAAAGAUAACAUGGGUGUUGGUGGAGAUGUUUAUAGGAAGGGAAUGAAAUGGGAGUUCACAAUUUUUUUAAGUAGUGUGCUUACUUCAUCCAACAAUUAGUUGAAAAUGGUAAAUUUUAAAUUUGGGAUUGCACUCGCUUCUUGUUCAGAUGUACCAGUCUGAUGAUAAUUUGUUUGCUCCAUUGUGCAAAUCUGCAUCUUUAGAUGCAACCUUUUCUUUUCCACUUCAAUUCUAUUCUAUGAGCAAUUUACCAAUGUAACUCAUGCUCACCUCUCCAAGUCUUUGAUUUUCUCAAGUUUCUUUUAGCGAUGUUCGCUUAUACUUUGAUUUCAUGUUUUUGAGAUCUUUUUUUUUUAGAUGCACAUCUAAGGCAUUUUUAUGUUUAUUUGAGCAUAGAAUAGUGAAUAGUCAAAUCUUGGCAUUGGUAAGAGUGUAACUGGGCAAAGGAUGCCCUUCUCUCUGAACCCCUAAAUUCUUCAAUGCUAUUAUUUGCUGCCAUUCAUUACCUUACAAAGUUGUCUUAUUUCCUAAUUUCUUUCAUUUUCAAGCUAAUUUGAGAUGAUAUGUGUGCCUAGGAGCGUGAAAAAUUCAGCUUCUGUAUUUGCUACAUAAUACCACUAUUCCUCAAAUACCUGAUUUGAUAUAUCAGCACUCUGUUUCUAUAUAUCUAUAUUGGUUCACAAUGAACUACUUGAACAAAUUGAACUUGACUAUGUGAAAGCACUUGUAAGUUCUUAGAUGAUCAUGUGGCAUAUGCCUGAUGUGACAAGCCUUUUCCUUUCUUUUUACUUUCAAAAACUCUUGGAAACUCACAACUUUUAAUAUAUGAGAGGCCAAUAACUAUGUAGUGGAUCAACCCAUUCUCCUUUGAAUUUAAGUAUGGAUCAAGUGUUGAUCAUGUUUAUGGUUUUCAAGUAUGGAUCGAUAUUAAUUUAGUCUGGCCAAUGAGGGCAUCAAUGUGGGAAGUAGCAGAGGAAUGAGUGGGAAAGGAUGAUGAGAGCAUAUGAUGGCUGGAUGCAGGCCAGUGCUGCAGAAUUUUUAGGUAGAAGGCGACACAAUGAGCCAAGAAGUUGAUGAUAGGAAGAAACUAAAGAUUUUUUUAAUACUUUAUAAAAAUGUAGAAUUAUAGGAAUAAAAUUGUGUAAGUUAUAUUAGAUGCAGUGAGCAUGCUAUAGAAAUCAUCAGUUUCUUGUUGGAUUUUGUAUCUUUUUACCAAAACCAGAAUUGGAGCUAUAUGGCACAUGAAAAUAUGGAUGAACACUUUGCUCUGAAUUGUCUUGGUUGCUUCUGCAAAGUGCGCUAUCAUUUAGUUCUUUUUUUCCCCAUUUUGGAGUGGCAGGGGACUUGGUUUUGAGUGUUGGACACUUUAAGCAAGGUUUCAUUAAUUUUAAUAUCACUUUAUCAUGAUCAGUUAUCAAUUUUAAAUAUUAUAAAACAUCUUAAGCAAGCUGAAAUGAAUGUAAUGAAUAACUCGAGAAACUUGUAGACUCAUGGUUAUUCUAUUAGUUUGUUUGUUAAUAAUGUAUUAUCUCCCUCCCUCGCUCCCUCCCCCUCUAUAUAUCUCUCUGCGUCUCUCUCCCCCCAUCCCCUUCCACUUUUUAGUUUCUCCCUUUUGGGAAAGCAUCAAAACAAUGAGUUAUAUAUGCAUGUACGCAUGCAUGUCGUGUUGAUGUGCCUAGAACACUGGAGGCUCCCGUAUCCAGCAUUUUUGGACAUUGAGACACUUGGCAUAUGUCCAUGCAACAUUGGGCAAAUGGUGGUGUGUCUAUUGUGGCCUGUCAAGUGUCUUUAAUUUCUAAAUGGCCCUCAGCAUUUUGAUGCUCACGCACACAUUUAUUGAUAGCUACCAUGACUUGAAUUGUUGAGUUGGUCUAUAGCUAAAGAGCUUAAAAACAUGUAGAGCAAUAUAUGGAGGAAGUCCAUUCCUUUGUCACUUAACACAGCGAUCAUUAAUUCUAUUCUCACUUGAGGAGAAUCUGCCUUUUAAUCUUUUUUUUUUGUGAAGUUGAACUAGUUGAGAGUUAAGGGUUAAAGUUCCCAUCAGUGCCAUCUUGUGUCUACAAUACAUACUAUGCCAGGAAGUUAUUGCUUGAUGCAUGGGUGUGUACCAUUGCACCAUACCUGCCAGUUCAUGUUGAUGCAUAUUGCUUUGAUAUGUCUCAUUAUUGGGUGACAUCUAGUUAGACAGGGUAUGUCAUGUCCUAUGUGUAGAUAGGGUCUUAAAGUGCUUACAAGAAAGGCAAAAAACCAAUGUGGAAGAUUUCAAAAAUCAUCGAGAAUGGAAACAAGACCUUCCAAAAUUCAUCAUAUGUUGUAUCAAGUGUUAAAAAAUAAGGUAAGUGGAUACGAGCUUUCUAGUACUAUCAAUUUGUCAGUUUCCCAUGAUAUAUACGGCACUUACAAAUGCUGCUGAUGAGCCAACUUGGUUAUAUAUCACCCUGUGGUUUUUUAUCAACAAAUGUUGGCCUAGUUGUGUUGAUAAUGUAUAAAUAGUUGCAUAAAGGUAGUUUACAUGAUAAAUUAAUUGAAAUUAUAGAAUGCUCAUGUUAAACCACAAUCAAUGAUGAUAUGUAUAAUGAUUGCUGAUCCUAUGUCGCGAUAAUUUUUUCAAAAGCUAUGUUUAUAUGUUUUAACCAGUAUGAGUGUAUGACGUAUUUAGUACUAGUCUAUAUUUUGAAAAAGUUGGAUAAAGUAGUUUAUUUUAACAUGUCAGAACUUGAGUCUUUUCAUUGACAUUCUGUGCCAUUAUCAGCAAAAUACACAAAGUGCCAAGCCCUUACCGGAACAAACAAUAUGUUACUCCUUGAUGAAGCGUUACUUAGACUAAAUAUUUCAUAAAUCGGCUUUUAACUUUGAAUGUAAACAUUGUAAUAAUUGCUCAACUAUGUGCACAUUUUCUUUCCUGCAGUUCAUGCUUGUCCAAGUCCAAGAUAGUCGCUCAAAACCGUUGUUAUAAGGACUACUCAAUUUUGAUGUACAAUGUUCUUUGUUUCUUUAAAUAAUAUUUUGCUAACAAUAGUUAAUAAAAGAAGGCUUUUUGUUUGUUUUUAAUAUAAUUUGAGAGAAAGGGAGGGAGACCUGCUCGCACUAUAAUUGCGUUUGGUCAAAUACUUGGGGAUGCAGUAUCAAGACUUGAACCUAGAACCUUUGGUUGCUAAAUUGAGGGGGCGACCACUCGGUAAAGCCCCAUUCUGUUUGUAGGGGAAAGUUGUUGAUGGCGAUGAUGAUAACUCGCUAAUUGAUUGCCUUUUUUUGGUUUUACUUGAUGAUGUUAUGCAAUGGAAGUUAAAGGUGGCAAUGGAAAGCAGAGUGGACUGUAUCUUGUUUAAUGUAGUAGGACAAGAAAUUCAUGUGCCUACAUAAUGUAUGGUAUGAUUAGUGGUACUCAAAGCUGCUAAUUUCAUUGAGGUUAAAAAAAUGAUGAUGACAGGUUAUUCUUGUUUCAAUUCUUUUUGCAUAUUUGGAGAUUUAGGCUAGAACACUAAAACCUAUCAACAUGGGCCCUGUUACAGCAAUAGUACGAAUCAAAUGCACUAGAAAUCUUUGAGAUAGAUGCAUUAUCAUGCUAAUAAAGGAGCCACUUAGUAUCAGGCUGGAGAAUCAGGAACACCCUUCAACUUUCAUUAAGUGCAAUGGGGCAAGUGCCUCGAAAUAGUGGGUCCAUGUGGGCAUCCCUAUUUACUAAACCUAGGUUGAGAACUUAUGCUGUAAUUAGAAAGCAAGUUUGGAAAUUUCCCGAAAAGCUAAUUAUAGGUUCUUCUCUCCAUCGGAACAAUAGGGCCGUUAUGCGUUUAAAAUCUAUUUGGUUUAAAUGUCAAGUUUUCUUUAACAAAACUUGCAUAUGUUUUCUUUUAUUGAGAAAGGUGCAUCAUCCAUUGACCAUUCAUAGUUAUAGUGUUUUUGGUAGUUAAGAUGUGCUUUUCCACGUUCUUCUUUAUAAGCUCACUUAUUAGAGAUGAGGCAACUUAUGCUUUUCACAUGCAGUUAAUAGUAUGUAUACCAGUUGGUUAAAAUAAGAUCAGAACUACUUAUGAAACACCAAUCUACCCAUUUCUUGCUAAAGUCAAAGAUAGCUGGACAUUCCUUUGAUCUUGCCCUUCUUGUAAUGUUGUGAUUGGCUGUUUUUGUUUCAAGACAUUCAAAUGUAAUAUUUGGAAAUCAAGUGUAAACUAGUACGACUAAAUUCUAAUAACAAUCUUAUGGGCUAUUGAGACAGUCAUGCAGUUUAAAUGGCGGGAUAUCUUGCUUAGAGUACUAAGAAAUAACUUAUCUAUGCUGAUUAUUGUUCAUUAUCCUUACUUGCGACACACAUGCUGCCUAUUUUUCUAAUAGCAUUUGAUUGCUCAUUUUGCUUCCUUAUAUUAAAUUAGAGUCAGGGGUGGCAAUGGGUUGGGUUUGGUGGGUUCGGGUUGGUUUAAGGUAUGGGUAUUCUAGAAAAAUUGUCAACCCAAACCCCUCUUGUUUAAGCAAGUGGGUCAAAAACUCAAACCUGAACCUGACAUACUUAUUAAAUAGGUAAGACGACCCAGCACAUGUAACUUGUUUAACAAGCGAGCCAAGUCAGGGUUAGGUUGACAUGGGUUGAAAAAAACUUAUAGAAGANNNNNNNNNNNNNNNNNNNNNNNNNNNNNNNNNNNNNNNNNNNNNNNNNNNNNNNNNNNNNNNNNNNNNNNNNNNNNNNNNNNNNNNNNNNNNNNNNNNNNNNNNNNNNNNNNNNNNNNNNNNNNNNNNNNNNNNNNNNNNNNNNNNNNNNNNNNNNNNNNNNNNNNNNNNNNNNNNNNNNNNNNNNNNNNNNNNNNNNNNNNNNNNNNNNNNNNNNNNNNNNNNNNNNNNNNNNNNNNNNNNNNNNNNNNNNNNNNNNNNNNNNNNNNNNNNNNNNNNNNNNNNNNNNNNNNNNNNNNNNNNNNNNNNNNNNNNNNNNNNNNNNNNNNNNNNNNNNNNNNNNNNNNNNNNNNNNNNNNNNNNNNNNNNNNNNNNNNNNNNNNNNNNNNNNNNNNNNNNNNNNNNNNNNNNNNNNNNNNNNNNNNNNNNNNNNNNNNNNNNNNNNNNNNNNNNNNNNNNNNNNNNNNNNNNNNNNNNNNNNNNNNNNNNNNNNNNNNNNNNNNNNNNNNNNNNNNNNNNNNNNNNNNNNNNNNNNNNNNNNNNNNNNNNNNNNNNNNNNNNNNNNNNNNNNNNNNNNNNNNNNNNNNNNNNNNNNNNNNNNNNNNNNNNNNNNNNNNNNNNNNNNNNNNNNNNNNNNNNNNNNNNNNNNNNNNNNNNNNNNNNNNNNNNNNNNNNNNNNNNNNNNNNNNNNNNNNNNNNNNNNNNNNNNNNNNNNNNNNNNNNNNNNNNNNNNNNNNNNNNNNNNNNNNNNNNNNNNNNNNNNNNNNNNNNNNNNNNNNNNNNNNNNNNNNNNNNNNNNNNNNNNNNNNNNNNNNNNNNNNNNNNNNNNNNNNNNNNNNNNNNNNNNNNNNNNNNNNNNNNNNNNNNNNNNNNNNNNNNNNNNNNNNNNNNNNNNNNNNNNNNNNNNNNNNNNNNNNNNNNNNNNNNNNNNNNNNNNNNNNNNNNNNNNNNNNNNNNNNNNNNNNNNNNNNNNNNNNNNNNNNNNNNNNNNNNNNNNNNNNNNNNNNNNNNNNNNNNNNNNNNNNNNNNNNNNNNNNNNNNNNNNNNNNNNNNNNNNNNNNNNNNNNNNNNNNNNNNNNNNNNNNNNNNNNNNNNNNNNNNNNNNNNNNNNNNNNNNNNNNNNNNNNNNNNNNNNNNNNNNNNNNNNNNNNNNNNNNNNNNNNNNNNNNNNNNNNNNNNNNNNNNNNNNNNNNNNNNUAUAUAUAUAUAUAUAUAUAUAUAUAUAUAUAUAUAUAUGAUUUCCAUUCAUGCUCUUGAAAUUUUUCUUAAUAACAUUGCUCAUUUUUUCAGGUAUGUCCCAUCUUUCUUGCCACCAGCAUCUCAAGGAAGAGAUGCUGAGAAAAAGGUUAGCAUGAGGUGUUAUCAUCCUUGUUUCUGUUUGCAGUAUCAGUUCAAGAAACACUGCUUUUUUUGUUCUUUGAUACUUACAGUGCUACAUUGACCUCUCAUCUUGUAUAACAAUAUAUACUUUUUAAAUAUGAAGGGUGUUUCAAUGUAUAUUUUCCUGUUGUUUUGUUUCAUUUUAUCAAAAUCAUAUUUGCCAUGACAAUUUCAGUUGAAAAGUGGUCCGGAGAACUAUGCUUUUAAGAUUUUUUUUUUUGUCUAUUUUGGAGCAUAAUUUGGUCAUCUAUGGUUGAUUUGGUAUAUGCUCAAGUUUUAGAUAUUCAUAUCAGCAUCUUGAUCCUGCCAUGAUCUGAUUUUUAUGGUCUUCCCCAUUACUCUUUGUUACUUUGUCAUCUGUGGUUAGCAAUUUGCACAGCACCAUGAUUGAAAUGCCUGUGGAGUAGUGUGAUGGGCAUGGGUAUAUUGCUUGUUGCAUGCUUUGAGAAUUUAACUAUAUCUGGAAAUUAGUGGAAGGACUUAUGGGCAGGUUUGGCUGGUCUUUUAGCUGUCUGAAUUGGCAGAAACUGCUUCACUGUUUGAAAUUUCAAAAACGUUUUCCUGCCUUUUGUUGGUCCCUUUUCUCCUGGACAUAACACAGGAAACUACAUUAGUAUUUAGCAUCUGCUAGUAGAUUAAAUACAUUAGUUGGUCUUUCACCAAAUGCUAUAUAUUUGUCUGUUUAUUUUGAUAUCCUUUUGGGCUUUAUUUUCUAUUCUAAAAAUACUGUUCAAAUGGAGCAGUAAAUUGACAUGUUUUUUCCGAGAUAUUAAGUUUCUUUGCAAUCCUAUUUAAGUUUGGAGGUAUCUUUCCUGUCAAGUGUGCGAAAAGUCUAACACAAGUUAUUGCGUCACACUCCCCCCGGUAAAUAUAGUUUUCAUGAAAUCACAUGUGGCCCUUAGUUAUUAUAAAAAUUCUCUCUUACUUUCAAAGAGACUUUCACUUAAACAUGUAAUUGUGAAAGUGUUAAGGAUCAGACUCUUAUUAUUUGAACACAACCUUUCCUAUUUGUGGCUUGUUUAAAGAUUCAACCUAAAUUAAGAGCGGCAAUAGUAAAACUUAUACUUUAUUCCAGAUAGUUGAUACAACAUAUGAGCUAUAUAGUUUUCUAUUUGUCUAACAAUAACAAAAGAAAUUAUAAACCUCAAAAUAUAUAAUAAAUGGGGCAACCAAGGUUCACCGUCUUGGUAUUGGACCUUGUACAAGUACCAUCCUAUUAUAGUGUUGGUACAUGGUGCGGUACGAGACGGCAAGACGUAUCGAGUAUCGGUAUACAACGAGGCUGCGUAUUGAUUUAGUACCAGUAUGGUAUGGUACGAUAUCGAUUGGUAUGGCAAACCUUGGGGGCAACAAAGUGCUUGAUAUGCUGGAUAGUUGGUGAUAACAAUUAAUACGCUUAUUAGCUCUUCUAGACAUGUAUUUCUUAUCCUAUUUCACAUUAUGUAAUAUUAAUAUAUUAACCAUAGGUUUCAAACUAUAUGUUUAGUUCUUUCAUUUGCUGACUGAUUCAUUAUCCAGCUGAAUGACGCAUGCACAUGCACAGGUACACAGCCAGUUGGCUGGAUUUCAAGUCGGAUCCUGUCAGUGAAAUCGGAAAAGGGACCCAACACUGAUGAUUCAAGCCUUUGAAUGUGAUCUACUAUCUCUAAGCUAUUUAUAGACUAAAAAUCAUGUGAUUUGGAGACACCUGGUCUAUGCAUCAAGUGGUCAAAAAUAGACAAUUUAAAUAACAUGAUACAAUGUCUAUUUUUUAGCUCUUGAUGCAGAGGCCAAAGGUCUCCAAGUCACAUUAUUUUUGGUCAAUAAUAGUUUAGAGGUAUUUCAACGGCUUGGAUCAGUCGUGUUCGACUCCUGUCUUAUGAUUUCACUUGAUUGAAUCGGACUUGAAACUUGCCCCCCCCCCCCCCCCCCACACACACACACUCUCUCUCUCUCUCUGUGUGUGUGUGUGUGUGUGAUAUAUGUAUGUAUGUNNNNNNNNNNNNNNNNNNNNCACACACACUCUCUCUCUCUCUCUGUGUGUGUGUGUGUGUGUGAUAUAUGUAUGUAUGUCUAUAUGUUUGUUUAACAUAAGUGUGCUUAUACUCUUCCUUGUUUUAUUUGGAAGUUUACAAAAUGCUUUUGGGGGCUUUGCAUGCUAUUAUCUUUGAAGCAAUUUGAUUUUACUUGCAGAAGGAAGAGGAGAAGCCAAGGGAGAAGGAGAAAGGGAAGCAACGAGCCAUCGAUAAAUUUUUGGAGGAGCUGAAGUUUGAACAAGAAUUAAGGGAUAAGCGUAAUCAAGAACGCGAACAGUGGCGAGAAGGUCGCCACAAUGAUAAUAAAGCUGUAAGCAGUCGUGUAUCUUAAUAUUUUUGUGAAAUGCAGAAGCAGGUCAGUAAGAAUUUAUAGUAUGAUAAAGUAGAAACUAGUGUAUUAGAACCAGCAGAUGGAAAUAUUGAGGGUUCAAUAAAAAGAGAAAAAAAUAAUAUACGUCAAAAAGAAAUCUGUAUAGACUAAGGAACCUGAAUAACAACUCUUGAAUAAAACUCAUGUGAACUUGAUGACCAUCCGCUGCAUCAACUAUGAUUAUUUCAUAUCUUCCUUUUUCUUUUUGUACUAUUCUGCUCAUUGUACCUGCAGAUGUAGCAUUGUAGACCAUAUUGUUACUCUUGCUCCCAUCAGGAAAAAUCUGACUUUUCCUCCGUUCCCACCUACAUAUAUGGAAUAUUUUAAGAAGUGAACACCUUUCUUUGUAGCAGGGGUGGAGGAAUAAUGGGAAAGGCGAUUUCAUUGCAUUUCUGACUGGGAAUGGGACCUAUCUUCAGAAUAUUUCUAUUAAUGAGAUAAUUAGUCAUAUAUUUCUGUUAGAAAAAAUCUACCAUAAAAAUAGAAUUUUAUUAAUUCUAUUUGGUCAUCUCUAGUUCUAUAAACAAUAUUAGAUAUAACUAAUAUAACUUGUGAUAUAGAUAUAUACUUAUAGAACCAUGAACUAUAUAGUUCAUAUUAAAUUAAUAUGGCCCCUUUGAUUUCUAUGUUGCCUUGCACCCUUUGGGCCUAUAUCAUUUACACUAGCUUUAAGAUGUAACAUUUUGUUAAUUAAUACAAUUGCAGUAAGACGUUGGGUCUACAAAGUUACCUACGGGUGACAAUGUAUUGGGUGUGGUCAGGUUUAAGUCGUGUUGACAUCCACUAAUAAGCUAAACCAGUAAUCACUCUGACCUGCCCAACCCACCAGUGGGUUGUAAGGACUAACCUGAACCUGCUAGCUGGUUAGCGACAGUGAUCAGAUCCUACACACCUACCUGAAUAAAUUAGGAGAUGAGGAGAGGAGUGGAGAGGGUGAAAAAGAGUAGCAAGGAUGGUUGAUGAUGCAUUGAUGUGGUUCAUUAAUGGCUGCUGGUGCAGCACCAAGGUUUGAAUGGUGGUUGGCACUGGGCAAUGGCGGGUAGAGGUGAAGGGGUUGGAUGAUAGUGUUGAAGUGGGAUUGUUGUAGGGCUGACUUUGAUGUAGGGAGAGGAGAAGAGAGGAAGAAAAGACAGGGAAAACGACCAGCAGUGCAGUGUAAGCAUGCUUGAAUGAUUGUUGCGGGGCUGCUGUAGGGCUUGAUGGUGGUGGAAUUGUGGGGUAUUAGUAGCUGGGUUGAGCCAAAAUGGAAGGUUAUUGGCUGGAUCAACAUGAAGAUGAGAGAGAAGAGAUGAAAGGGGAAGAGAAGAAAGUGGUGGGUGGCAGUGAAGAGGAGAGAUGGGGAGGGGAGGGUAAAGAUUACAUGAGGGUGAGAGUUCAGGUUAUGUUUGAUGGUUGGUCGUGAUUCCAUUUAACCUAGACCUUCUAUUCAUUAUUUAGGCUUUUUGUAAGUGCACUCCAUUUGUGGUUGGUGCCCAUCUCUUAUUAUCCCUCUAAAACAAUAAUAGAACUGAGAGUUCAUAUUUAUAGUAGGAGCAUUUACAAUGCUGAGUGUUUCAUCUCAAAUUCAAACCCAGGCCAACUUGCUGGCAGGUCAAGCUUGUCCAACUCAUAUAUGAUCCUAAUGGUUGGGUUGGAUGGGUUCUAUGUAUAGGCAGGUUGACAGGUGAGUUUGUAUUUAUUUAUUGGAUCCAUUCAAGGCUCUACUAGAUAGCCUUUAACCCAUUUCAACCUAAACCGGAAUGCUUAAAUCUCUUUUCCAAGCUAACCACAUCGAGCCAUCUCAGACUAGUUGACUUGAGAUUAUGCCUUUUAGGUGCUGUUCUGUCUAUGUGAAUGAAUAUGUACCAUCCGAACUUUAGUUAAGAUCCCCAUGAAUGGUGGCGAUUUAUAGAAGGGGUACAUGAACUGCCCUAUUGAAAGUGGUUGGAUACGAGGAAGGUGAUGAAAAAGGGAAUAUUGUCUACUAGCAGUAAGCACUGUGAUUAUCAAUGUAACCUGGAAUCAUAGUGUCAAAGCAUCCUAAGUGCUGGACAUGGCAACCUCCAAAAGUCUGAGCAUGGGACACGAUAUAUGCACACACACACACACACACAC